CCCCAAGCGUACUGGAACACCCCCGUCCCUCCCACGAUGGCCCGCUCCGACUUCCCGGACGCGUCCAGUCUCCCGAUCACCGUGAGAGUGCUGUUGACGAACUUCCCCGCCGUGAACACCAGCACCAGCGGUACCAGCAUCACCUCCUCCCGCAUUGAUACGUGGAAGCCCGCGCCCUGCACCCUUCCGAGGAAGGUGGAGCUUUCGUCGGGGCCGACCCUCAGCACGGUGUCGUAGAUCUCGAUGUUCCCGAAGGUGUAGGGGAGGCUCAUGUUCACCACGGUGACGGUGGUGUUGUCGGGACCGAUAAAGGUCUCGUGGAAGUAGACGCGGAAGUGGAUUCUCUUCUGGAUGCCGAGUUCGAACUCGGAGGUGACCGGGAAGGCCGUGGCAGCAGCCUGGAGGAGGAAGAAGACGAGGAGGAAGUAGAGAUGAGUGGAGCUGUGUGGGGAUGAAGCCAUGGCUAGGAUGACACAAGGAUCGAAGUGAGGUGGGUACAACGCUGGAUCAGGAACAUGUGUUUAUAGAGUAAUGUCUGCGCCAUGCGUCGUUGACAAAUACCAACUUUCAUAAACAUGUAAACACCAUGCCACACGGAGAUGGAAGAUGGAAGAUGGAAGUAAUAUAGAUAAUCUUGAGCAAUGAAGAUGGAUAACUGAGAGAUCGAUGAUAGUUGCAAGCAGUGGCCAAUGAGGAUAGUGUUGCGUCUUCUGCUAGUGUCAACUGGCCACAUGUAACUCAUGAAUUUGUCUUUUUCUUAACCAACCACAUCGUUCGAUGAUAGUUGCAAACGUUGACAUAAUGCAUGUCAACGUUUCCAUGUGAAUAACACCCACAUAAUCCUUCACCUAUCAAAGGUGUGAUCGGUUGACAAAGUUCAUCAUUAUUAUGUAAGGUACAUUUAUAUUAGAGGAUCGUCAAAUGCCAGUGCAUGUCAUGGUACUUUUCAAUGUGCAUAAUUGACACAAACUGUGUGGAAUCUCUCCCUCUUACUUGCCCCUUCACACAAUGCAUUUCUUUAUCAACAUAUGUUUGCUUCACCUGAGUCAACUGUUCAUGUGAUCCACACUAAAGCCUCCGUCGGUUCAGCAAAAUCGGCUAAUUGUCGUUACUUAAUGUUGAAAAUUGAUAACAAGUCUUUGUAAGACUAUCAAUUAAGAAUUUUGCACAUUUAGUCUCAAGUUGAUUAGAGAUUUAAAGAGUCAAUAGCUAAUGAAGAAUCAAAUAUCUUGAAAGGCAAAGAACCGGUCCUACUUAACAAUUUAUUAACAUUAAAAGAGCUCAAGAUUAAUGUUUUUUUUUAUUGAGGUAAAUAAUUUGUGAAAAAUAAGAGUAUUAUUUUAGACAAAAUAAGUAGUAAAAAAGAGGAUCAAAUUGAUUAACGAAACGUGGCAUGUCCACGAAUCUUAAAGCAUCAGAUUGCAUCAGUAACUAGCGACCACCAAAGCAGUCUCCACGGUGAGAAGGGGGAAAUGACGAUGUGAAGAAUCGCAGAGGCGGCUCUCCUCUUUGUCCUCCUCGGUGGCAACGAGCGCGAUUUGGUGAUCAAGGUCCGAUCACUUACGAUCCCUUCUCGUCCAAUUUUCCCAAUCUUGGUUAGAGUUUUAAUUUGAUGGAGUGCUUGACGCCGUCUUGUAGUUUUGAUGUCAAUUUCUUGGUGCGAUCUACUGUUCGAUCAGAAUCUUUGAUGGGUCCUAGCCGAUGAUCAUGCAACCUAGUUGCUCUAUGAUCAACGAAAACGAAACCUAAUAUUAUAGUUUCUUUUUCCUCUCAGUUUAGAUUCACUUCUUCCCCUUGAUCACGCAAGUAGUCGAAGCUUAACUGCAGGAAUUGUUCGAGUUUUUUUCACGUAUUUGAGCUUUUUGUGUCGUAACCUACUACGUUUUCUUGAUUUUAGACUGAACUAGGCUUUGCACUUGGUUGCUAUAUAUGCAUUCAAGAUAAUACUCUUGCCAUCAAAUCAUUGAAUUAUGUGGGGAUUAUUCAUCGAACAGAUUCCCUUUAAGUCGCAUAGUCUUUUGUUCCUUUCCCUGGUUCUGUUGCUUGUUGCAUAUCUUAAGUACAUUACUGUUUCCUAUGUCUGCAUCUCAUGUAUUUCACGUUAUCCAAGCAAGAAAUUUGUCAGAUGUGCAUGAUGUUCAACCAAUUGAUCUAAUAAACGCCAACUUUAUCUACACAUCAAUUGAAAGAAAAGAACAUCUUAUCAUUAUUCCAGUUUCACAGCUAGAAAGUAGUGAUGCAUCUGAAACUGUAGCUGUAUGUGAAAAUUUCGGCAAGUCAGGUAAAAGAAGUAAGUAUUAAGAAGGAAAUGUAUUGGUACCCCUUCCAAUAAGGAGAUAAUAGUUAAACAAGUUGCUAUCGAUUAAACUUAUGGGUCAUAUAAUUUAGACCUUUUUAGGUCUCGUCUACAUUGUUAGUUGUUAUCAAGGAAGUAACUAGCAAUUUAUUGUGAUUCAUGAAUUCCUUUGCAUAGGAUGGAUUUAAUAAUGUUGCAUGAGUAAGGCUUUCUGCAUUAUGGCAUGGCUCAUGUUGAUAAUAUGCGGGCACAUAAAAACUACUGUAAGGGUCUACUUACAGAACCUUAUAGGAAGAUGUUUUGGAUAAUGGCUACAUGCAAUUAGUGGUGUUAAGGAAGGGACCUAUUUUUGGGUUGAUUACAUUGUAACAUUGCAGUGCCUUUAAAUUAGUAAGCUGCAAUAUAGAGAUUAAUAAGGGAACGUUGUGUACUCUUCUGAACCAAAUGAUGUUGUAUUUCUUCUUAUUUGGAGGUUUCAAGUUUCUUGAUUGAGUUUCAUUUUGUUGUAGUCUUUAUCUAAAUUUGACUCUUAAAAACCUCGAGUAAUUUAGUGAAUGUUGUUGGAUAAUGCUUCAAUCAUAGUUGGUGUGUUGCCAUCUAUAAUUAACUCCAGAUGACUAGAAGACGGGAGGAACUAAAAGACAAUCAAGUAAAAUGUUGGUAAACAAAACUUAAUAGGUACAAAGGCAUUUUAGUUUUUAGGUUGUUCAUUUAGUUGAUGUCACAUGGAAUAUCAUGUCCACAUCCACAAACUAUGUUUGUUUGUAGAGAGUACCUGUGCCAUUUAUUAGAUUCUACCCAACUAUCAUGUGACAAUAACAAUAUAAAAGGUUGAUUUUUUUAAUAUAUAGCGUCCUCAGAUUUGUCCAAUGAUGCAACUCAAAUUAGAUGAUUUUUGGCGACUUGAAACUUCAAAUACGUCUGCUUGAGUACCAUGGGUGCCAGCAGCAUUAUCUAGGCCAGUUUCACAUCAAUUUUAAGAGUAGCUGGAUGAUGAUAAAUUAAACCAUAUCAUCAAGACUCCUGCUUCUGUGUAUUGUAGUUUUAUUGAUCCUGAUCUUCCAUUAGAAUUUUAAGACUCAUGCAUGCGAAUACAUCAGAACGUCCUUUAAUUGAUGAAUUCUUUACCUCUGUCUUGACGAGCAGUUUCACCAGGAAUCAAACUAAUGGUGCAUGGCCUGAAGAAUGUAUGGGGAUCAAUGCGUGCAGUAGUUUCCACAGCAUGUGAGUUUAUGGUACUAACAUCAAAAGGAGCCGCUGAUGAGAAUAUUGUAGAGCAAAGACUGCUCAAGGAGCUGUGCAAACAUGGCUUUUAAUAAAAUUGACUUGGAUAGGGAGUUUUCUUGGGCUAAAAGAUUAUGACCUGUAGCAGUCCAUGGAUGAGCUUUUUGGUUGUGUAUGAUGAAUAGAUUUUUGCCUUGAGAGCAGAGCUUCAGGUUCUCGUUAGCCUGUAACUCCUUGCUUCUUUUAUCACAUGCUUUAGUGAUCCUCGAUGCCUGCAAGAUUACUGAAACUAAUAUUUGAGAUUGGUAGCCCAAUUUUUUCUCUCUCCAGUGGGUAGUUCAUUUGGUACCCUAUGGACUCGGUAUCUUUCCUUGCUUAUCCCGUAGCAGCAGCGGAAAUUUUGGUAGGAGAAGCUUUAGAUUGACUUUGUUUUCUCCAGUUUGUGGUACAAAUAUCAUUAUCUGAUGUGGUGUCUCUUGAGAUUGAUGUGGCAGGUUCUAAAUCUUACCAGGUAUUAAAGGAUUGUGGAUGUUACUUUUUCUUCUUUUUGAUUCCGUUGAAAUCUUUUGGUAGGUUGUAACUCACAGACGGAGAUUGAGCCGCAGCAAAUUGACUUGAAGAGCAUCAUCAUGGCAGCAACUGGGCUUGGACUUGUUUGAGGGAAGGUCACUUGGACUGGUAUGCUACUUAGCCCAAUCCAAUUGUUUGGUUACCGCAAAGCUCACUGGUUCAACAGAGAUGCAUACUAUUUCACGAGGGAUUACCUUGUUUAACUUUUGCUCCUAAGCCAUACAACACCAACGCUAACAGCUGAAGAAGAAUAUUUGGGAGUCUCAAUUAGAUCUUACAGAUCGUGUUCUCCCCUUCUGCUGCUUAGGAGGAUGGCGACGAAGCUGAGGCCAGCGCAGCCGCCGGUGACGAGGUUGCCCUCGCGGACGAGGAUCUUGAGGGCGACGGCGCUGAUGUCGGCGGUGAUCCGCCGCCCCUCCAUCACCAGCGCCCGCCACGGCUUCCCGGCGAAGGCGAGCAGCACCAGGACGGUGCAGCACGUGACCAGCGUCGCUGGCACCGCCACCGGUAGCGCUGCCCCCACGGACAACAUCCCGAACAACUCUCCGUACUGAUUGUGUAAAUGUAAAGACAAAGUUUGAUUGAAGCUUAUUAACAUGUUCCCUGGGGGGAGGAUUUUCAGAGCAGUGAGAUUUCCUCGUGCAAUCGGAGAAAUCUUAUUUGCUAUCACAUACAGCACCGACGUAUACAACCUCGACGACCAUGAUGAUGAGGAGGACGAGGAGGAGGCGACGAUGUUGUACCAGGAAUGGAUGGCAAGGAGGAGGCCCCAGGAGCAAUGAAGGAGGAGGGUGUAGAAGAGGAGAAAGAGGUAGACCCAUGUCCGCCUCUUGUUCGUAACUCUGGUAUGUCCGCGGUCGCCCUUGGAUGCUUGUUUCUCAUGGCCAGUGCUGCAGUUGCUGUUGCAGAAGAAGUGGAUGUGUAGCAGAAGCAAAAGUAAGUCCAACUCUGCUUGUGUCUCUGAGUUUCCCACCUUAGUCAAGCCAGCUGAAUAGCCUACUCACUUUUUUUAAUUUUUAUUAUUGUUUUAUCAUUUUUUAGAUGAAUGAUAAUAUUUAUAUAUGAAAAGAUAUUUUAUCUCAUUAUUUUACUUAAUAUUUUAAUAUUUAUAUCGAUAUUGGACUAACGGGAGAUGCCUUGCUCGGAUAGAAUAUAUCUAAGGGGGGAUAUAUAUAACUGAUAAGGGUAAUAAUUGUAAUAAGACUCACGUGACAUCAGCUGCAUCAGGUGACGCAUCACGCCUCUGUUGACUUGAUGAGGCACCUGGUCAACGUGGAUCGGAACGCCUACCAAGGCGCAUUAACGCUCUGUUCAGGUUCGAUCCCUCACGCCACGCCAACGGCAACGUUAGACGCUACCAGAAGUACGGUCCCGCUCCCUGCGGGCCAGCACAUUAGACAACGGUAAUUAUCACUAUAAAAACCCUCGCACUCUGAAGGGAAAAAAAGGGGGGGAGGGAAGGGAGAAAUCCCCUAGGACCAUCCACUAACUUGAUCGUCAGAGGGAUCGGGUCGAGCUCCCCGACCCGACCUUUGUGUAGGUGCGAAGGCGGAGGUCGUCCACCAAAGGCGCAGGCGGGGGUUCCCUCCCGGUGAAAACAGCGACCUCGUCCCAAUCGGAACACCGUGAUCGGCCACCUUAGCAGUCGGGAGGAGCGUCCCAGGAAGAUCCCCGUCAUCCGGACCCGAACCAAACCGCGUCGGUCCCGAUGCCACGGCUUAAAGUUGUUCACACUAACACUAACAUUUCGAUGUUUGUAUUAUGUUGGGACAUUUUUUUUUCGGUGAGAUAGUGAGUUGAGUAUUUUUUAUCCGAUCAAAAAGUUAUUUGAUAUAUUUAUAUUAUUGGGAUCAAUAUAGUAUAGAUGGGUCUAAUUUCUCUUACAAAAAAGAAUACCAUGAUUUAAACAUUGGGACUGAAAAAAAAUCUUAUAAGAUGCAAAGUUCAAGCACUAUCUUGGGUGGUCAGGUUGGGAACUCAUUGGAAGCUCUAUUACCACCGAUUAUGUAAGGUUAAAUUAUUUAAUUAGAAAAUAUUUAUUUUGCAUGUCAUAUUGAUGCGAAACAUCAUUAUUUUCAAACUAAUUAUCUCCUAUUUAUAUCGAAUCCAGAUUAAUUAUCCAUUGAAUUGUACCUAAUUUAUAAGGAUUCGCUGAAGGUAAAAUAAGCUUGAGAUAAUAUAUGAGUUCCACCCUUAAAAGAGAUGAUGAUUGAGCAAUUAGUUUAUCCCUCUAACUAUGGAGUAGGUUGGGAAGUCGAUGAAGCUCGAAAGAGAGGAUCCUGAGCAAGCAAUCAACCAACCUCAGUGGUUCUUCACUGAAAGGAGGAAGCAACGUAAGCAACAUCUAUGGAUGAGAGCAUUUUUCAUAUUUUUAAUGGUGGAGAAUCCCCGUUGAUUUGAGUUGAAAGUGUCAACUAGAAAUAAUCAAUAGAUCAUGGUCGCUAAUAUCAAGUUAUCUCCGAUAACAUCAAAAUCUCACUUCAAUAAUAUCUUCCAUUGUAAGAAUCCAACCCACAACAAUUAAAUACAAGAAAUGUGAUAGGGAAAGAGAUCAACUUCAAAAUCUCUAUGAGAAUGAUCGUUAGAUUUAAUAUUAUACUGGAUAGUAAUUGUAAUACCCCAAUUAGAAGUGAUAUGGUGAUAAUUGUCCAUCAGGACUUCUUUUAUAUUCUCAUAAAACUUUUCAUUAACUCAAGCAAAGUUCUUCAUGAUGUAUCACAUGUUAUGAAUAGUAUAUAUAAAUAGGGGAUCGAUACAUGAACCACCAUAUAUUGGGAGGUACAUAUUACAUGACCCUAUAUUAGACAAUACAGGAUCUAUACCAAUUGGUAUUGAUUGAAAUCCAAUCAUUAUAAAUUUGUGCUGACAAUUAUAUUGGGAGGUUACAAUUGCUUUAUUUUAAAUGAUCAAUUUGAUUGUUUGAACUAUAGAGAAGGGGUUUUAAACCCUUUCUUCUCUCCUUUUUCUACCAAUUUCACUCAAUCUUUUCAACUCUUUCUCACUUAUAUCUUUUUCUCAUUGUCAUGUUUUCACUCUCUUAAACUCAUCAUAACUAUAAUUCAUGGAUUAGAACAAAUGUGAGAGGCUAAUUUAGAAGGAUUACAAGAAGAAUAUUUUGAUCGAGAGGUAUAUAUUAUCAUUCUAGAUUUUUAUUUAUAUAUGAGAUGAUUAAGCCUAUUCUAUGUUUAUUUAUACAAUUUGAUGGUGAUGUAUCUAGAGGAGCAAUCUUUUACACUUGUCAUCUAGAUUCAGGCUCGAUAAUGUACUAGUUAAAUUUACACUAUGCCAUAAUGGGGGUUGAGGAGGAGGAUGCGACAUGAUGACAUUUACUGAUGAGAGCUUCUUUCAUAUUCUUAAUAGUGGAGAAUCUCUCGUUGACUUGAGUUUAAAAUGUCAACAAUAAAGACUCCGCUAAUAUCAAGUUAUCUCUAAUAACAUCAAAAUCUCACUUCAAUAAUAUGUAAAAAUCCAACCCAAGACAAUCGAAUAUAAGAAAUGAGAUUGGAAGGAGUUUGACUUCAAAAUCUCUAUAGAAAUGAUGUUAGAUUUAAUACUAAACUAGAUAGUAAUUGUAACACCCCAAUUGGAAACAAUGUGGCAACAAUCAUUGGCAAGGGCUUCUUUCAUAUUCUUAAGGUGGAGAACCUCCUAUUAAAUCAAGUAAGAUUCAUUGUACCAUGAUAUACCAUCUGAGACAAAUGAUACAUAUCAUUCUGACAAGGGAUUAGCAUGCGAACAGUCAUAUAUCGGGUGGUACACAUUACAUGAUUCUAUAUCGGAUGAUACGUGAUCUAUACCGAUCGAUAACGAUUGAAAUUUAAUUAUUACUGACUUGUACCAAUCGGUAACAAUUGAAUUUUGAUCGUUAUCAAUCAAGAGCUAAGAUUGUCUUAUUUUAAAUGAUCAAUUUGACUAUUUAAACUAUAAAAAAUAUUUUUAUAUCCUUUCCUCUCCCCACUCUUUCAACCCAUUUCACUCGAUCUUUUUAACUUUUUCAAACUCUUCUCACUCACAUCUUUUAUCUCAUUCUUAUAUUUUUACUUUCUUAAACUCAACAAAGCUAUAAUUAUAUAUUAAAUCAAAUAUAAGAUGUUAAUUUGAGAGGAUUAAAAAGAAUAACACUUUAAUUAAGAUAUAUAUAUAUAUAUAUUUCUUUUUAAAUUUUAUAUUUAUAUAUAAGAUAAUUAAGCUUAUUCUAUGUGGUCAUGUCUAUACAAUUUUAUACUUGUCACCCAAGAUUUAGAUCAUGAAACUCGACGAAAUACUAGUUAAGUUUAUACACGGGAGGGAAGGGAAAAACAAUGGAUGAUUUUGAAUAGAUGUGAUAGAGUAUACAUGACAUAGAUAUAGAUCAAACCUCGUCAUAUUCACAACCAUUGUAUUGUGAAGAAUCUUAAGACUAAUAGUAGUAUGAUGAUAGUUGAUUAUUCUUUUCCAAGUAGUAGUAUGAUGAUCAAUCUUAUGAUAUAGAGCAACAGAUCAGUGACGAAAGUAAAAGUUUAAACAUUCAUAAUGCUCCAUACUAAUAUAUGUCAUAAUUGUCCUUGCCUCAGGAGCCAUCUACGUGGUUCAUGACGAUCAACUUAUAACCAUCACAACAUUGAUGUACCAUUAACAUACGAUGUAUGUAACACCCUACUUCUACCCUACAUGUAUAACUAAAAUAUGAUGUCAUAUUUUAAAUUUUUAUUACUGCUAUCAAUAGGAGAGUAGUGAAAGUAGAUAAUCUUAAAAUUAAAACAUGCUAACUUACUUAACAAAAUGAUAGGAUUUCUCCUAUAUAUAGUAUUUUGGACAUUUAUACAUAAUUAUAGCCUCUAACUAAGAGAAAAACAUAAAUAUAACAAGUCCAAAAUUUAUACACACAAAACACCUACAGAACAUCAUGCAUAUCUAAGCUGGUAUAGGCUUGCAUAUACUCACUGCUCUACCCAAUCACUUGGGUGGGGUAUUAGUAAUGAGUACACUCAAUAAGUAUAAGCCCUUAUAGCUUUAUUUAGGUAGCAUAUAUCAUAUCAUAUAUGUAAUAUUUUAAAAUUAUUGGCGUAAGACAUUUAAUGGAAAACUCCCUUAUCAUAUAACUUCUUUAGUAAACAUAAUCCCACAACAUAGCAUAUAUAAAAUAAAGAGUUAAAGUUCUACUUCAAAAUAAUUCAAAAUGCUUAUAUGCAAAUAUAGGAAGUAUAAUAAAUUCAUUGACUUCUAUGCCCUACAUCAUAAUAUAUAUUUGCAUUCCCAUAUCAUAUGUUAUUAUAAUAUAUACGUGCACUCUCACACUACACGUCAUAAUAUUUACAUACACUCCCACAUUAUACAUCAUAGCAUAUACGUGCAUUACAUAUCAUAAUAUAUUCGUGUACUCACGUACCAUACAUCAUAGAAAAUAUAUACACUCUCAUACCAUAUGUCAUCAUAUAUGUAUACGUAUAUGAUAUUUUUAUCAUAAUUCAUAUAUUUUUAGACUUACAAAAUAUAUACAUUCAUAUUUAACUAAUGCUUUGCUCAUGACAAUCCUAUCAUUCGAAAUAUAAUUUUUAAAUUGUAUUAUACAUAUGACACCAUUAUUUUAUAGUAAAUUAAACUUAUACUUAAUUAAACUUAAAAAUAAAGAUAUUAAUAAAAAAUCAAGUUCUUUAAUAGUCGAAUGUAUUAGGGAGUGAUACUCCUUGGAGCAAAAGGUCAUGAGAUGUUUUAAUUAAUAAUCCUACCUCUUGAAUUAUUGAUUUAUAAUAAUUUAUAAUAAUAAUUCAUAAAAAAAAAAUUGAUAAAAAUCUCUUAUAAAAUAAAUUAUACUCAUCCUAAUAAUAUAUGAAGUUAUUCCUUCUCCAUGGUAGCUAAAAUUCAAAUUGAAUUAGUGUCGAAAGAUUAGAGAUCCAUGGCAAAGUAUGAUGUCGUAAUUACAUAUUAAUUGCGUCAUACAAAAAGGUGAAACAUCGUUUGUGCGUUCUUAUAUUUGCUUCCAUGUAAAAUGCUUUAAUUACAUUAAAUUAUAUGUGACAUUGACACAUAAACACACAGUUUUUAUUUAUUUUAAGAAAAAGAUAAAGUACAAAGUGACAAGUAAUUAUAUGCGACAUUGGCACAUAAACACACAACAGAGAGAGAGAGAGAGAGAGAGAGAGAGAGAGAGGAUAUAUAUAUAUAUAUAUAUANNNNNNNNNNNNNNNNNNNNGAGAGAGAGAGAGAGAGAGAGAGAGAGAGAGAGAGGAUAUAUAUAUAUAUAUAUAUAUAUAAGGCGGAGAUUCUUCGUGUCAUGUAUUAAGCUUCGGUGACAUCUCGAAUCAUGCGAUGGCACUGUGAUGGAGGUCGUUGUAGUAGACGACGUAGACGUCGUAGGCGACGACGAGCUUCGCGACAGAGGACGUCACCGUCUCGGUCACCAGCUUCCCCCAUGCGUACUGGAACACCCCCGUCCCUCCCACGAUGGCCCGCUCCGAGUUCCCGGACGCGUCCAGUCUCCCGAUCACCGUGAGAGUGCUGUUGACGAACUUCCCCGCCGUGAACACCAGCACCAGCGGUACCAGCAUCACCUCCUCCUGCAUUGAUACGUGGAAGCCCGCGCCCUGCACCCUUCCGAGGAAGGUGGAGCUUUCGUCGGGGCCGACCCUCAGCACCGUGUCGUAGAUCUCGAUGUUCCCGAAGGUGUAGGGGAGGCUCAUGUUCACCACGGUGACGGUGGUGUUGUCGGGACCGAUAAAGGUCUCGUGGAAGUAGACGCGGAAGUGGAUUCUCUUCUGGAUGCCGAGUUCGAACUCGGAGGUGACCGGGAAGGCCGUGGCAGCAGCCAGGAGGAGGAAGAAGACGAGGAGGUGGUGGAAAAGAGAGGAGCUGUGUGGGGACGACGCCAUGACUAGGGUGGUGGAUGGACAAGGAACGUGAAGUGAGAAGUGAGAUGAGCACAACAAUAAGAGGGAAAGUGUCUUUAUAGAGCAUUGGCUUAUGGCUCUGUCAUCAUCAUACAUAUCAUAUUUAUCACAGGUAAGUAUGAUGUACACAUCAUCAUAUUAAUAUUUAAGAGAUUAAAAUUAAAUAAUAUUUUGAAUCCUUAAUAUUCGAUAAAUAAGUCUUUUAGAUGUAAGAAUAUCUCAAAUAAAUUUUUGAAUAAUCAACCUUUGAUAAGUGGAUCAUCAUUAUAUUUAUACACGGAAAUGAAUCAUUUACAAUUAAUUAGACUUUGACAUGUUAAACUCAAUCAAUUCAUGAACUAUUAUUGAAAAUAUUUAUGGGUAUACGAUUAGAAAAAUAAGCUUAUAUGACUAAGGAUUGAAAGAAUCAGAUAACAUAAUAGUUUAAGUCUUUGGAUUGAAUUAAUAUCUUACUUGAUAUAUAUAUUAACUCUGAUCAAUUUGAUUCAAACUCAUCAAUAGUCAUACAACUAUGACAUGAACAAGCUCUAAAUUGAAGAUUUAUCGGGCAAGCUUAUUGAACUCAUCCAAGAGUCUUAUGGGUGCUAUUCAAAACAAAAUUGGACAAUCGUAUCCUCAUUGAACUUGGAAGAAAUCGACUCGAGCCACGUUAAUUUAGAUAUUGAGGUUGGAUUCCCCUAGUUGGACAUCUUAGUCGAACCUCAAAGUCAAAAGUCAUUCCAUCUUCCAACUAGAGCAACAAGAAUUCGGAAAAAAAUAAUGAACCAAAUCGAGUCAAGUUCGCCGGAUCUAAGUUCGACCGAAUGGUGUAUUUGGAGUCCAUCCUUCCAAUGCGGGGGGAAGAAGAUGGCAUAAAAUGCAAUAAGCGAUGCAUAAUAACACCGGUGGACGCCCGGUGAUUACAGCAUACGGGCUCUCGAUCGGUAGGUGCCUCGCUCUCCGCCUUCAGCAAGCAACGUAGACGUACAGCGACGGCUCUCGGUCGGUAGGUGCCUCGAAUGCAGGUGUCGCUGGGGAGAUGGGUGAUGGAGGUCCAAAAGAUGAGGCCAUUGACAUGAUCGAUGUCGACUGUAAUCUUCUCAUCUUAGGACAAGAUCUUCCACCUCACGGUCUCGUACGUUGCAUGGUGGGUGAACGAGGAGGAAGCCAUCGAUCGGGCGUUGGUUUCCUCCGUACACUUAUCUUUUCUCCAUGCUGUAGCUGUCGGUGAUCACAUUUGUUGCAUGUGAUACACGUUUUCUUUUUUUUUUUUCACCUUUGUCGUGUACUCUAAUUCUGAAAGAACCAUCACUUUCUGAUCACUGUACAUGACUGUGAUUCUUGCACAGUCAUUGAUCUAUUUCUUCUAAUAAUUGACUAUGAUUCUUGCACAAGAGAACUCGUAAAGCAUGAAAAUUUGAUAUUAUUAAUUAAUUUUAAUAAUAAUUUUAUUUUUAAAGUAAACAAAUAAAUUAAAAGAAAAUGGAGAAUUGCAUAUUCUCCACUCUGUUGAUACCCCUAUUUACUUGAGAGGAGACCAAUGUAGUUUCUACAAUCAAGUCAAACUAGAGUCUAAAUCAAAACUAUGUAGACCUCCCUUCCAUCCCUCUAGCUAGGUCUCAUUCGGUGCCAACCGACACCAUCGAAACUUUAGCUCAGUUUGCUUAAAUGUUCAGCUAGUAAACAUACAAACAUAUCACUUUCCAUCAAUAUAAAAGUACAUAUAUAUAUUACAAUAAUAUGUGAUAUGAUAGUACACACAUAUGUUAUGAUAUAAGGCGUAGAAGAUCAUACAUUUUUUAGGCUUCCUACAUGUGCAUAUAAGUAUUUGAAUUAUUUCGAUAUAAAAUUUUACCAUCUUAUUGUAUAUAUAAUGUGUUGUAGGAUUAUUUAUACAUGCUAAAGAAUUUAUAGGAUGAUGUGUCUAUCAUUAAAUACUUUAUGUUAAGGAUUUUAAAAUAUUAUAUACAUGAAAUGAUGUGCUCACAUAAAUAAAACAAUAAAGACUUAUAUUUACUGAGUGAUUAAUCACCGUAGAUCAUAUUUUACAGAUAAAAAUAUUAGUAUCCCACUCAAGUGAUUGUAUAGGGAAGUAAGCACAUGUAAGCCCAUGCUAGCAUAGAUAUGAACGAUGAUUUUUCAACAUUUUAUGUAUAUAAAUUUUGGACAUAUUAUAUUUAUGUUUUUAUUUGGUUAAAUGAUAUAAUCAUGUAUUUAAAACAUUAUGGAUAGGGGAAACCCUAUUAUUUUGUUUAGUAAGUUAGCAUGUUUUAAUUUUAGGAUUGUCAACUUUCCAUUGUAGUCAUAUUGAUAUCAGUAAUUAAAAUUUAAAAUGUAACAUCCUAUAUUAAUUAUACAUGUAAGAUAUGGAAGAAACUAGAAGUAGAGUAUUACAUAUUCAAUGUUCUUGAUAUCGAAUCCAUCUAUGAUAGACUCGGUGAAAGGCUACAGUUACAUCCAAGUCAUCCUUUAAAGAAUCAAAAUAUAUAUUAACAAUUAUGAAAUGUGAAAGAUUUUUUAACUAAUAAAUUAACUAGAAAAAUUGAAUGAACGAAUGAAUGCCAUGUUUAUGGGAGGAAUAGGUACAUGUCAUUUUGUCAAGGCACGUGAUUUAUUUGGAAUUUAAUGUAACUUAUUCGCAUUAUGUUGAUUAUAGUUUGCGACAAAUGUAAAGAUUCCAUAUCAAAAAAUAAAUUCCGAUGUGCAUGUGUUAGAUCCCUUAUGAAACUUAAUUAUUUAUAGAGUGACUUUAACAUAUAGUAAAUAAGUUUGUAUCUAUGUAACUUGGAUGAUCAUAUUGUGAAAUAUACAAAUAAUAUCUCAAGUUAUUCCUUCUCCGUAGUAGCUAAAUUUCAACUACAUUUGGUGUCGAAAGAUUAGAGAUCCAUGACAAAGUAUGAUGUUGUAAUUACAUAUUAAUUGCGUGAUAGAAAAAGGUGAAACAUCGUUUGUGUGUUCUCAUAUUGCUUCCUUGUCCGAUAAUUUAAUCGCAUUAAAUUAUAAGCGACAUUGAUAGGUUGAUGUUCACAAAAACACACAACACUAACAUUAUGACCCAUCGACCAUUUUGUACCCACUUGAUUCAGUUUUUAGAAUUAUAUUUGUCUGUUUCCAAAAAAAAAUAUUUCUUUAUGUAGUACGAAGUAUUUUUUUGAAUUAUAGUAUAUUAUAGUGAAAUUUUUGACAGAUAAGCUCACUCUACAGGAGAUGAGAUUUUUACCUCAUAACACUCAUCGCUUAAUUCUUUCCAAGUAAUUAGAUCCUUUUCAUCAAAGCAUUCAUAAUCUUUUAUAUAUAUAUAUAUAUAUUAUUGAAUUGAGCUGUACAAUAUUAUUUUAGUUGAUCUUAUUAACAACUUUAUAGUGUGGUCCGAUGCAUAAUACUGCUACUAAUCCUAAAUAGGAGAAGAAUAAAUUUACUAUAGUCAUAUAUACCUACAGCUAUGAAAAAUAAAGCAUGUCACCGUACUGUGCUGCAAAAUAUCGAGGUUUGUAAAAGCUUUUCUUUCUCAAUAAUAAGAAGCUUUUCUUUAUUUUAAGAUAAAGAUGGAAGUACAAAGUGACACGUAGAAUAGCAUUUAUUUCAGCCUUUUGUUUUGUCCUUAUUCCAACCGCUGUCUUCAUGGAGUGACACCAUAGCCGGAGUUCUUUUUGUCGUGUAUUAAGCGUCGGUGACGGCAAGGUCUCGCAAUCAUGGGCUGGCACUGCGACCGACGUCGGUGUAGUAGAUGACGUAGACGUCGAAGGCGGCGACGAGGCCCUCGACGGAGGACGUCACCAGCUCGCUCGCCAGCUUUCCCCAUGCGUACUGGAACACCCCCGUUCCACCCACGAUGGCCCGCUCCGCUUUCCCGGACGCGUCCAGUCUACCGAUCGCCGUGAGUGUGCUGUCGGCGAACUCCCCCGCCGUGAACACCAGUACCAGCGGUAUCAGAGACGCCUCCUCCUGCUGCGACAUGUGGAAGCCCGCGCCCUGCGCCCUUCCGACGACCGUCGAGCUAGCGUCGGAGCCGACCCUCAGCACGGCGUCGAAGAUGUCGAUGUCCCCGAAGGUGUAGGGGAGGCUCAUGUUCACCACGGUGACGGUGGUGUUGUCGGGGCCGAGAAAGGUCUCGUGGAAGUAGACGCGGAAGUGGAUUCUCUUCUGGAUGCCGAGUUCGAACUCGGAGGUGACGGGGAAGGCCGUGGCAGCAGCGAAGAGGAGGAAGAAGACGAGGAGGUGGUGGAUAGGAGAGGAGCUGUGUGGGGACGAAGCCAUGACUGGGGUGGUGGAUGGACAAGGAACGUGUUAUACUUGGCAAAGAUUGACAAGUGAGAGGAGCACAAGGCUGGAGGAGGGAGAGCGUAUUUAUAGAGUAUUGGCUAUGUCAUCGUCGUGCAUAUAUCAUAUCUAUCAUAUUAGACGAUAUUUUAGACUCUCUUAAAAAGGUAAGUAUGUAAGCAUCAUCAUAAUAAUAUUUUAGAGAUUAACAUUAGAAAGGAUUUCAAAUCCUCAAUUCAAAGUUGAGUCUUUUAGAUGUAAGAAUACCUCAAACAAAAUUUUUGAAUCAUCAAACAAUAAGUGAAUUUUCAUCAUGUUCAAAGAUUAAAAUGAAUCAUAUACAAUUAAUGAGACUUAGCAUGAUAAAUUUAAGUAAUUAUUAUUGAAAAUAUUUAUGCAUGUGAGAUAAAAAAAGAUGAGCGAAAAGUAAUAUAUGACUAAAGAUUGAAGGAAUCAGAGUACAGAAAGUCGGUUUGACAAGUAACACCACGUUUAGCCUUCCUCUUGAACGCCGGUCUCGUUCCAAAAUCGCCGGACGGACCACUUCGCUCUCCGCCGACAACACGCAACGUGUAGCUUCGCUGGGAUACGGGUGAUGCAGGUCAAAGAAGAUGAAGCCAUCGACAUGAACGAUGUGGACUGUAAUCGUCUCCAUCCUCGUCUUCUCAUCUUAGGACUAUAUCUUCCACCACACCGAAUCAUUCGUUGUAUGGUAGGUGAACAAGGAGGAAAGCCAUCAUCCAUGGGACUGCUUUUGGUUGGUUAAUCCUCACACUAGCUUCUCUCGAUGCUGUACCUGAUGGUGAGGCUUCUUGUGCACGUUUUGUUUCCAAAAAAUCUGUCUAUUUUGUUGAGAAAAUAUUUUCAUCUUAAUCAGUAUAAAUAGGGGGAAAAUAGCUUCAAUGUAAAACAGUUUUUUCAAUAAUUCUUCUUGUCUUCUAUUCUUUCCAACAUGAUAUCAGAGCAAGUGAGAAGAGCGAGACUCCAUGGCCAUCGAAGCCUGUUAUUCACCACAUCUCUUACCUUUGUAGAGCAGAGAAGGGGGUGAACUCUUUUCCAUCGGACUCGCUUCCCUGUCGGACUCCCCUCUCCGUCCGCUGAUACCCCAGUCGCUGUCGUGACCACACCCGGCAUCGCAAUCAUGUGCGACCACAACAACGAGGGCCUGUUUUGGUGCGACUGGCUACUCGCCCUCGGCAGUGGAUCCCUCUCCAACCCUGUCCGCUCCUUCCCUCUUCUCCUCCAUGCGGCUUUCUUCUUCAUCGGCGUCGCCUGCACCGACCCUAAGCUCGGGUUAUCUACCGCCAUAUCAUCAUCUUCAUCAGGUUGUGAUCUAUAUCAAUCGCAGCCUGCUGCCUCGGUGUCAACUGUCGAUCCUUAGCUCCUACUAAGAGCUAAUCGCUACAGCUUCCUCCUACUGCAGCUUCCUCAUGUUGCAGCAUCGUUGUAGCUUCCUCCUCUGUUGCAGCAUCGUUGCGGCUUCCUCCUCUGUUGUAGUUUCUGCUGUAGCUUUCUCCUAUGCUGGAGCAUUGCUGCAACUACCUCCUUUGCUCCGACUUCCUCCUUUAUUACAUCUAUGCUGCAGCUACCUCUUCUACUAUAGCUUCCUCCUCUAUUGUAGCAUUACUACAGCAUCGCUGCAGCUUUCUCCUAUACUGUAGCUUCCUCCUCUUCUGUAGAAUCACUGCAGAUUCCUCCUCUGCUAUAGCAUCGUUGCAGCUACCUCCUCUUCUGCAUCUACCUCCUCUACUGUAGCAUGAUAGCAGAUAAGAUUUCUCUAACUAUAUGAGAAAAUCUAGAGUUGAGAGAAAUCCUCCCUCUUAAUCUGUAUAAAUAGGGAGAGAAUACCUUCAAUGUAAAAUAGUUUCUUCAAUAAUUCUUCUUGUCUUCUAUUCUUCCCAACAGAUAAAAAGGGAUGUGGACGAGGCCAUCAAAAGGAACACACGUCAUUUAUGAUUACUGCUCGCUGCUCUUUGUUACUCGCCGAUGUCCUCAUCCAUCAGUAUGAACUGGAUGAGAGAAUAAUAUUCAAAAUACUCAGUUAAUAUUUUUCUUACUAACAGGAGUUUCUAUAGCUCAUGAUUCAUAACUUUAUUUUUGUCCCUUGUAUAAGAGCUGAUUUAAGUUUCUGUAUAGUUUUAUCAAUCGUGUUUUUUAUGCUAGUUUUACUUAUGACGCUGAAUGGCUUAUCUUAAUUACUAAUUGAGCAUUCAUCUCAUUAAGCAUUUAAUUAGAUGACACAGGGCACAUGCUCACGGUCACUUAUGGCUCCUCUUGCCAUCCUUCACGUGCAUGAUAUAUAUAUAUAUAUAUAUNNNNNNNNNNNNNNNNNNNNNNNNNNNNNNNNNNNNNNNNNNNNNNNNNNNNNNNNNNNNNNNNNNNNNNNNNNNNNNNNNNNNNNNNNNNNNNNNNNNNNNNNNNNNNNNNNNNNNNNNNNNNNNNNNNNNNNNNNNNNNNNNNNNNNNNNNNNNNNNNNNNNNNNNNNNNNNNNNNNNNNNNNNNNNNNNNNNNNNNNNNNNNNNNNNNNNNNNNNNNNNNNNNNNNNNNNNNNNNNNNNNNNNNNNNNNNNNNNNNNNNNNNNNNNNNNNUUGGACGUCACCAGUUUGCUCACCAUGUUCCCCCACGCGAACUGGAACACCCCAGUCCCUCCCACGAUGGCCCGGUCCGCCUUCCCGGAGGUGUCCAUCCUCCCUAUCAACGUGAGCGUGCUGUCGCAGAAGUCCCCGGCCGUGAACACCAGCACCAGCGGUAUCAGCGACGACUCGUCCCGCUGCGACGCGUGGAAGCUCACGCCCUGCGCCCUCCCGACUUCAGUCGAACGCUUGGAGGGGCCGGUCCUCAGCACGGCGUCGAAGAUGUCGACGUCCCCGAAGGUGUUGGGGAGGCUCAUGUUCACCACGGUGACGGUGGUGUUGUCGGGGCCGAGAAAGGUCUCGUGGAAGUAGACGCGGAAGUGGAUUCUGCUCUGCCGGCCGAGUUCGAACUCGGAGGUUACCGGGAAGGCUGUGGCAGCAGCCAGGAGGAGGAAGAAGACAAGGAGGAAGUAGAGAUGAGAGGAGCUGUGUGGGGAUGAAGCCAUGGCUAGGAUGACCGAAGGAUCGAAUUGAGGUGGGUACAACGCUGGAUCAGGAACAUGUAUUUAUAGAGUAAUGUCUGUGCCAUGCGUCGUCAACAAAAGCCAACUUCCAACCAAAUCUCAUUAUCAUGUCUACAUAAAAAACCCAAACGAAUAUUACUCUUGCAGGCGAAGGUCUCAGCGUAGGGAAGAAGAUAGCAUAUGGUAACACGAUGUACACACCAUAUAGUCUUCUCCAUAUAUAUAUAUAUAUAUAUAUAUAUAUAUAUAUGAUGUCGAGCAAUGGAGAUGGGUAACUGAGAGAUGGAGGGAUGAUAGUUGCAAGCAAUGGGCGAUGAGGAUAGUGUUGCGUCUUCUGCAAGUGCCAACUGGCCACCUGUAGCUCGUCAAUUUGCUUGUUAAUUAACGAACCACAUUGGCAACGCUAUCUUUCUUAAUGUGUUUCACCACAGAUGUACGCGGUUGGCUGAUGGCUGUCGCUCCCGUUUGUUCGCAUCUUCGGUUGUUGACAUGUGGAAAUGAAGUGUCGGUUCCCAUGCGUGAUCGGUACCUCACCACUCCACUUCAAGUCGCGACGUAAUUAAUGACCGACGGUGCGAUGCAAAACCUUCACUCGCCAAUCAAGUCAUUCGUGACUCAUGUGGGGCCAUUAACCAUCUUUUUGCUCUACAGUAAUCAAAGAAAAGCUCACAUGAUGUGUUCUCAUAUCAGCAUACAAAUGAAUUUUAUGUGACUUUUAAUAUACAUACAUAUUCUCUCCUGUCAAAACAUAUCCUAAACUCAUGUUUAUUUUUACCAUUAUAUAUAUCAUCACGAGACCAAAAGACAAAAAGGCAUGGGAUAACAUAACGCAUGUCAAUGUUUCCAUGUGAAUCACGCCUACAGAAUCCUUCACCUACCGAAGGUGUGGUUGGUUGUCAAAGUUCAUCAUUAUUAUGUAAGGGACAUUUUUCUCAGCAUAUCGUCAAAUGCCAGCGCAUGACGUGUUACCUUUCAAAGUGCAUAGUUGACCCAUUCCGCGUGUAAUGUCUCCUACUUAGUUGUCCCUUCACGCAAUGCAUUUCUUUAUCAGUAUACGUAUACUUCACCUGUUCAUAGCAUCCAUAUUAAAGCUUAUGUAGGUGCAGCGAAAUUAGUUAAUCGUCUAUAAAUAGGAUAGAAAUGGAUAACAAGUCUUAUUAAAGCCAUUAAUUAAGAAUUUAGAAUAGAGAUAGUAUCAUAUUUGAUUUCACAUUGAUCAGAGACUUAGAGAAUCAAUACCUAAUACCUAAUAAAGAGUCAAAUACAAAUUUUCGUUUUUUGACAGACAACUUUUGGGAUCCACCUUAGGAAAGGAAAGAUCAUGUGGUCCCGCUUAACAAUUUAUGAUUCAAAAGAGCUCGUGAUUGAAUAGUUUGUGAAAAUAAGAAUAUUAUUUGGAUAAAAAUAAAUAGUAAAAAAAGGAUCAAAUGAUAUAUGGACACGUGGCAUAUUCACCGAUCUUUAAAGCAGCCGAUCGCACGAGUAGUAAGAACUACCAAAGCUCUCUCCACGAUGAGAAAGGGCAACGAAGGCGGGGGAGUGACGAUGUGAAAGAAUCAUAAAGACGAUUGUUAGCAACCCUUGUGGUCGAGGUGCCAGCGUGGUUCGAUCCAAUCCUAAAUGCGCUUGUCCACGUAGAUGCUCGAGUGAUGGAAGUGAGCAUUAUGUCGUGUUGAGUUUGAGCCUCGUCUAUCUCAAUAUAGUUUCUCUCUUGGUGAGUGGCCUGCUUAUUUAUCACCGGACACAGGUUAGGGUCGAGAGGAAGAUUUUUUGAUUUGACCCUUGCGAAAGUUAAAUUAGUGUUGGGUGAAGUAAGAGGGAGUUAAAUGCUCAAAGUUCUUCCCAUGAUGUCAAUUAUUGGGUUGACUUUUAUACAUGCGAACAAAGUUCUUCACUGCUUCAGUAUGAUAUUCGAUUUAUAGAUGAAAGGUUAUGUUUUUCUUCAGCUUCAUGUUGCUCAUGGUCCAAAGUGAACUUGCUAAAAGAAAAAACACUGUCAUGAUUAUGAUGGAAUAAUAUUUCAAACACUUAGAUUUUUAAUAUAAAAUUGUAUGUAUCUAAGAGCUGGUUGGAGAAUUGUAUAAGAUAUGUCUAUAGUUCAACGAGUUCUGAUAUUUUUGGAGUUUGUUGCAAUAGGAUUUUAUUCGUAAUAUUAAUAAACGAGAUCGAAUAAUUCUUUUUAUUUUAGCCUUAUUAUUUAUUCUGCAGACGUAAAGCAAGAUAAACAUUGUUAGCUCUUAUUUAAUUGCUGUAGCUUUCGUUAUCGUGUCUCGGAUCACGCGAUGGAAGUGAGACGGACGUCGUUAUGGUACAUGACGUAGACCACGAAGGCGACGACGAGUCCUGCGACAUCGGACGUCACCUGCUUGCUCACCACGUUCCCCGACGCGAACUGGAACACCCCCGUCCCUCCCACGAUGGCCUGGUCCGCCUUCCCGGACGCGUCCAUCCUUCCGAUCACCGUGAGCGUGCUGUCGCAGAAGUUUCCCGCCGUGAACACCAGCACCAGCGGUAUCAGCGACGACUCGUCCCGCUGCGACACGUGGAAGCUCACGCCCUGCGCCCUUCCGACUUCAGUCGACCACUUGGAGGGGCCGAUCCUCAGCACGGCGUCGAAGAUGUCGACGUCCCCGAAGGUGUAGGGGAGGCUCAUGUUCACCACGGUGACGGUGGUGUUGUCGGGCCCGAGAAAGGUCUCAUGGAAGUAGACGCGGAAGUGGAUUCUCUUCUGGAUGCCGAGUUCGAACUCGGAGGUGACGGGUAAGGCCGUGGCAGCCGCAAGGAGGGGGAAGAGGACGAGGAGUAAGUAGAGAUGAGAGGAGCUGUGUGGGGAUGAAGCCAUGGCUUUGAUGAUGUUGUGGGAAACAACCUGGGAGCAGUGGCCUCGGGGCCGACGCGACUCAGUUCGAGUCCGAACGACGAGGAUCUUUGCUCGAGGUCUCUCGGGAUUGUCGGAGUGACCGACCGUGCGGACCAGACCACCGUUGGGUUCGUCGGGAUGUCUAGGGGGGAAGGCGUCCUCUCCUUGCGCCCCGGGGAAAUAGCUUCAUCUCCUUACCUGCACACAGGUCGGGUCGGAAGCUCGGCCCGACCCCUCCGACGAUCAAGUUAGUGGAUGUGGAGGGGGUUUAAGAAGAAGAAGUAUUUUUUGUGUCCCUCUUUGGUGUGUUCUCCCCUCCCCCCCUCUCCUGAUGAACGAGAGGGUAUUUAUAGGGAGGCUUAUUGUUUCUCGAUGUGUCCGCUUGCAGGGGGCAGGCUGGUUGUGUCUGACAUUGGUUUGGCGUGACGUGAAGAACCGAGCCUGAGUAGGUGUUAAUGCGCCUUGGCCUAUGUUCCGAUCCGUUUGAUCGGGUGUCGUCGCGUCGUCCGAGGCAUGAGGUGUCAUCUGACGUCAGUCAGGUCUUAUUAUAAUUAAUAUCCUCAUCAUGACAAAAUGAUCGAAGUUAGGUGGGCACAACGCUCGAAAAGGACAUGUAUUUAUAGAAGAGGCGUUGCCAAGCGUCGUCAACAAAUGUCAACUUCCAACUACCGCAAUUAUCAUGUCUGCGAAGGAAGAAGAUGGAUGUUUGGCCUUCCCGGUGAAUGCAUCCUUCAACUCAGAGAUGGAAGAUGGUUCCCGAGUGUGAUCGGUGCGUCUCGUGCAUUUAUUAUAGAGGAUCGUCAUAUGCCUUGUUCGCUUUCAAUGUAAAUAAUUGACCCAAUCCGCGCGCAAUCUAAACCACAUAGUGGGCCCAUCACACAAUGCAUUUCUUUCUCAAGAUGUGUUUGCUUCACCUAUUUCAACUGUUUAUGCGGUCCACAUUAAAACUUCUGUCGGUUCUGCAAAAUUGGCUAAUUAUCGCUUCUUAAUGUUGAAAAUUUAUAACAAGUGUGUGUAAGACUCUCGAUUAAAAAUUUUAAACAUAUUUAGUCCCAAAUUGAUUAGAGUCAAUACCUAAUCAAAUACGAAAAGAUCAUCCCUCCACUCCUACUUAACAAUUUAUUAACAUUAAAAGAGUUCAAGAUUAAUAUUUUUUGAUUGACGUAAAUAAUUUGUGAAAAAUAAAGGUAUUAUUUUGAAUAAAAUAAAUAGUAAAAAAAGGAUCAAAUUGAUUAUGGAAACGUCACAUUUUCACGAAUCAUAAAGCAGCAGACUGCAUCAGUAAGUAAUAUAUAAUUUUGGAUAAAAAUAAAUACUAAAAAAGAUGAAGGGGGAAAUGACGAUGUGAAGAAUCCACAGAGGUGGCUCUCCUCUCUGUCCUCUUCGGUAGCAACAAGCACGAUAUGGUGAUCAAGGCCCGAUCUCUUACUAUUCCUUCUCGUCCAAUUUUCCCAAUCUUGGUUAGAGUUUUAAUUUGAUGGAGUGCUUGACGCCGUCUUGUAGUUUUUUGAUGUCAAAUUCUUGGUUCGAUCUACUGUUCGAUCAAAAUCUUUGAUGGUCCUAUAAACUAGUUGCUCUAUGAUCAACAAAAAUAUUAGGGAUAAUCCUAAUAUUUUAGUAUUUGAUAGGGAUAAUCCUAACACUUGCCAGCUCUUUCAUCAUAUAGGUUAAAGAAGCAACACCUAAGCAUCAGCAUGGGAGUCACCUGCUCCCUGCAACCGCUAGCAUAUAAACUCAUCUAGUUUGAGUUGCAUCACGGGAUAAAUCUGAGGAAUCUAUAUAUUAAAAAAAUCCACCCUUUAUAUUGUUAUUGUCAUAUGAUAUUGGGGUAGAAUCUAAUAAAUGACACAGUUACUCUACAUACACACACACUUAUAUAUAGUCUUAUAGAUGUGGACAUGUGACAUCAACUAAAUGAGCAAUCUAAAAACUAAAAUGCAUUUGUACCUAUUAAGUUUUGUUUUCCAACAUAUAACUUAAUUUAAGAGGGCAAUGCACCAGUUAUGAUUCAAGUAUUAUUCAACAACAUUCACUAAAUCACUCGAGGUUUUAAGAGUCAAAUUUAGAUAAGGACCAGGACAAAAUGAAACUCAAUCAUGAAAAUUAAAACUUCUAAAUAGGAAGAAAUACAAUAUCAUUUUGUUCAGAUAAGUACACAACAUUCCCGUAUUAAUCUCUAUAUUGUAGCCUACUAAUUUAAAGGCACUGUAAGAUUACAAUGUAAUCAACCUAAAAAUAGGCCCCUUCCUCAGCGUCACCAAUUGCAUGUAGCCAUCAUCUAAAACGUCGUCUUAUAUGGUUCUGUAAGAAGACUCUUAUAGAAGUUUUUAUGUGCCCACAUAUUAUCAACAUGGGCCGUGCCACAAUGCAGAAAGCCUUACUCAUGCAACAUUAUUAAAUCAUUCAUAUCCAAAGGAAUUCAUGAAUCACAAUAAAUAGCUACUAACCUCCUUGAUAACAACUAACAAUGUAGAGGAGACCUAAAAAGGUCUAAAUUAUAAGACCCAUAAGUUUAAUCGAUGACAACUUGUUUCUUAAGCACCAUCGUGCGAGUCACUUAUUUCCUAAUAAGUGAUGUGAUUUUUAGAAAGUAAAUAAUAUACAAUCCUUUUUCGUGUGUGAAUAAUAACGAAUGAAUAUUAUAUUUCUAUCUUUAUAUGUGAAAAUAAAAUAAAAUUAAAUUUAAAAUAAUAAUUAAAUAUUUACUAAUUUUUAGGGAGAUUUCAUCUUCUUCUAUAUAAACUAGCUCCCCCUUCCUCAUUCCACACCGAGCAAAAUAAAAGUAUUGAAGAAAAGAUAUUUCAAGAAGAUGAUUUUGAGGUGAGGUAAGAUCCUCUAUUCUUUUCUAAUCAAAUUUUAUUCAUAUUUUAAAAUCUUUAAUAUUAAAAGAUUUUCUAUUCUAUUCUAAUCAGUUUUGAUUCAUAUUUUGAAAUCCUUGAUAUUAAAAUUGUUGUGAUCGUAUGAUGCAUAAUAAUAUUUUAAUUUUAAAAUUUUAUAAUUAAUAAAUAAUGAUAAUUGAUUUAUAAUGUUAGAAUGAUUAUUUGAUUUAUAAUGAUCUUUUAAACUUAAGUAACUUUUAAGAUUGAUUUAAUUAUUAAAACUUUUAUUAUUUUAGAUUAAUAUAAUAGUUUUAAUUUAUUUAGUUAUAUAUAUUUAUAUUUUAAGAAUUAGCUAUAAAUUUGAAUGACUUAAUUAGUUUUAAAUUUAAGAUUAUGAAUUUAAAAUUUUUAAUUUAUGAAUUUAAAAUAUUUUUUUAAUAAUUUAAAAUAUUAAAAAAUUUGAUAAGAUGAGCCAGUCUGACUUGAGGUAGGUUGAUCUGUCAAAUUGAGUCAAUCCAACUCUUAUAUCAUAUUUAUCAUAAUUUAUAUUAUUUUUAGAUUUAUAAAAUAUAUAAAUAUAUAUUUAGCUCAUACUUAACUCAUGACAAUCAUAUUAUUCUAAACAUACUUUCUAAAAUAUAUUAUACAUAUAAUAAGAUAUAUGACUAUUAUUAUAUAGUAAAUUAAAUUUAUACUUAUCAGAUUAAAUUUAAAAAUAAAGAUAUUAAUAAAAAAAUAUGUUCCUUAAUGAUUGAGUGUGCUGAAGAGCAAUAGACCUACCAAACUACGAGCAAAAGGUUAUGAGAUGCUUUAAUUAAGAAUCUUGCAUCUUCAAUUAUUGAUUUAUAGUAUUUUAUAAUAAUAAUUCAUUACAAAAAUAUUUUUUAUAAAUUAAGUUAUACUCAACCUAUCAAUAUCUCAAGUUAUUCCUGAUAGGGGAGUCACCGUGGAGUCAACGGGGAUACGGACCAUGACGCCAGCCAUCCCAUGGUGGGACAAUCAAAGUGACUCCCCUCAGGAAGUGAUGGCGACGCGACAUAACAUGACACCCUCUGCGCGUGGGCCGCACCCUGCCCAAGUGAACGGGCAUUAACGCUGACUCGACGUUCCCAACGUCACCCCCUCAACCAACGACUCCCUCGCCCAUACCCUGCGACACGAUGGUCCGCCACGCAACCCUAAUGGCAAUGUCAAAUCCAGCCAGAGGCACGACCCUAUUCUGACAAGUAGGAACAUCAGGUAAUGUCAGACCCAAACUAUAAAAGAGUCCAGGGCCUAAAGGCCAAAGGGGAGAACUCUACACAGAAAAAAGCCCUUCUCGCCCACUAAUUGGAUCGUCGGAGGGGUUGGGCCAUCAGGACGGCCCGACCUUUGUGCAGGUACACGGCGGCCGACCACCGGGGAUUUGCAGCCGGCCAUCUCUGAAGGCCACCCGCCGAUCGGGUUUGCCCCGAGCGCUCACCCAAAAGGCGUCAAGAGGCUCUACCCAUGAUCUUCGGCAUCCGGACCCCUGAACCGAGCCUUAUCGUCCCGAGAUCACGGCUCAAGCAGGUGCAGACCGCAUCAAUUCCUUGUCCGUAGUAGCUAAAAUUCAACUAUAUUUAGUAUCCAAAGAUUAGAGAUCCAUGAUAAAGUAUGAUGUCAGUAAUUAUGUAUUAAUUGCGUGAUAAAAAAGGUGAAACAUCGUUUGUCCAUUCUCAUAUUUGCUUCCAUGUCCAAUGCUUUAAUUACAUUAUAUUAUAUGCGACAUCGACACGGUCUCAUGUUCACAGAAACACACAACACUAACAAUAUGAUCCAUCGACCAUUUUGUACCCACUUGUUUCAGUUUUCUUUGUGUGUUUCCAGAAAAAAAAAGGCUUUAUGUAGAACGAAGUUUGAUAAUUUUUUAGAAUUAUAGUAGAUUAUAAUGAAAAAAUUGACAGAUAACCUAUCCUUAAUGUCACUCUACAGGAUAUGAGUUUUAUACCACAUAAUACUCCUCGUUUAAUUCUUUCCAAGUAAUUAGAUCUUUUUCUUCAUUCAAGAAUUUUAUAUGAUGCAUAAAAGCAUUCAUGAAUUUUAUAUAUAUAUAUAUAUAUAUAUAUAUAUAUAUAUAUAUAUACUUUAUUUUAUUAUAUUGAGUUUGGCUGUACAAUAUUAUUUUAGUUGAUCUUAUUAACCACUUUACAGUGUGGUCCGAUGCACUACGAAUUCUAAAUAGGAGAAGAAUUGAUUUACUACAGUCAUAUAUACCUAAAAAAUAAAACAUGUCACCGUACUUUGCUGCCAAAUAUCGACGUUUGUAAAACCUUUUCUUUCUCAAUAAUAAGAAGCUUUAAUUUAUUUUAAGAGAAAGAUGAAGAACAAAGUGACACGUAGAAUAGCAUUUAGUUCAGCCUUUUGUUUUGUCCUUAUUCCAAUUACUGUCUUCGUGGAGUGACGCCAGAGGCCGAGCUUCUUUGUGCCUUGUAUUAAGCUUCGGUGACGGCCACGUCGUUUAAUCAUGCGAUGGCACUGCGACCGACGUCGGUGUAGUAGAUGACGUAGACGUCGAAGGCGGCGACGAGGCCCUCGACGGAGGACGUCACCAGCUUGCUCGCCAGCUUCCCCCAUGCGUACUGGAAAACCCCCGUCCCACCCACGAUGGCCCGCUCCGCCUUCCCGGACGCGUCCAGUCUCCCGAUCGCCGUGAGCGUGCUGUCGGCGAACUCUCCCGUNNNNNNNNNNNNNNNNNNNNNNNNNNNNNNNNNNNNNNNNNNNNNNNNNNNNNNNNNNNNNNNNNNNNNNNNNNNNNNNUUAGACGAUAUUUUAGACUCUCUUAAAAAGGUAAGUAUGUAAGCAUCAUCAUAAUAAUAUUUUAGAGAUUAACAUUAGAAAGGAUUUCAAAUCCUCAAUUCAAAGUUGAGUCUUUUAGAUGUAAGAAUAUCUCAAACUAAAUUCUUGAAUCAUCAAUCAAUAAGUGAAUUUUUAUCAUGUUUAUAGAUUAAAAUGAAUCAUAUACAAUUAAUGAGACUUAGCAUGAUAAAUUUAAGUAAUUCUUAUUGAAAAUAUUUAUGUACGUGAGAUAAAAAAAGAUGAGAGAAAAGUAAUAUAUGACUAAAGAUUGAAGGAGUCAGAGUACAGAAAGUCGGUUUGACAAGUAACACCACGUUUAGCCUUCCUCUUGAACGCCGGUCUCGUUCCAAAAUCGCCGGCCGGACCACUUCGCUCUCCGCCGACAACACGCAACGUCUAGUUUCGCUGGGAUAUGGGUGAUGCGGGUCAAAGUAGAUGAAGCCAUCGACAUGAACGAUGUCGUCUGUAUUCGUCUCUAUCCUCGUCUUCUCAUCUCAGGACAAUAUCUUCCACCUCACGGUAUCAUACGUUGCAUGGUAGGUGAACAAGGAGGAAAGCCAUCAUCCAUGGGGCUGCUUUUGGUUGGUUAAUGGUGAGGGUUCCAUCACAUUUGUUCCGUGUGAUACACGUUUUCUUUCCACCUUUGGUGAAAGAAGAACAUUUGGUGACUAUAAGGGCAUAUUUGCAUAUCAAAUUUGCGAUAAAAAGGGAUGUGGAUGAGACCAUCAAUGUGAUUGAUGCCUCAAUUUUGGAGAAGGAACGCACGUCGUUUACGAUUGCUGCUCUUCGUUACUCGUCGAUCUCCUCAUCCAUCAGUAUGAACUGGAUGAGAGAAUAAUAUUCAAAUUACUCAUUUAAUAUUUUUCUUACUUAAUAGGAGUUUCUAUAGCUCAUGAUUCAUAACUUUAUUUUUGUCCCUUGUAUAAGAGCUGAUUUAAGUUUCUGUAUAGUUUUAUCAAUAGUGUUUUUUAUGCUAGUUUUACUUAUGACGCUGAAUGGCUUAUCUUAAUAACAAACUGAGCAUUCAUUUCAUUAAACAUUUAAUUAGANNNNNNNNNNNNNNNNNNNNNNNNNNNNNNNNNNNNNNNNNNNNNNNNNNNNNNNNNNNNNNNNNNNNNNNNNNNNNNNNNNNNNNNNNNNNNNNNNNNNNNNNNNNNNNNNNNNNNNNNNNNNNNNNNNNNNNNNNNNNNNNNNNNNNNNNNNNNNNNNNNNNNNNNNNNNNNNNNNNNNNNNNNNNNNNNNNNNNNNNNNNNNNNNNNNNNNNNNNNNNNNNNNNNNNNNNNNNNNNNNNNNNNNNNNNNNNNNNNNNNNNNNNNNNNNNNNNNNNNNNNNNNNNNNNNNNNNNNNNNNNNNNNNNNNNNNNNNNNNNNNNNNNNNNNNNNNNNNNNNNNNNNNNNNNNNNNNNNNUAAUUGGAUAAGAUAUAUAAUAUAACUAAUUGUUGUAAGUAUUAGAUUUUGUGAUCCUUUUAUAAUUGGAUAUAUAUAUUAGAUAUAACAAGAGGUACGUCUGUAAACACGUACAGACGUACCUCUUGUUGGGAAAUCUUGGGGGCGACAUCACAUGCACAGCGGAAGAACAAGAAAACAAAAUCCUCUAUUCCCAAAGAGAUGUUCGUCGUCGUGCAAAGAUUGGUGCGCAAAAUCCGUGAAACUUAAAACUACGUAUAGAGUAGAUUGUGUUACCUAGGGAGAUCGUAUAUCCUUGUUUCGUUACAGCUUUUUAGGAGAGGAUGAAAGAGGUCAAGCGUCCUCCUCUCUAGCGGUGAUCUACAUAGUAGGGUUGCGACGAUGCUCCUCAAAACUCCAGGCCUGCUAUGAGGUGGAGAGGGAGAGGAGAAUAGGAGAGGCAAGCAAAUGCUCUAGCUCUGAAUCCCUCCUAUUUAUAGAAGCCCCUUGUCAAAAACCUAAUGGAUCCUCCCCUAGUGGAUAUUGGAUCUACAUCUAAUUACCCAAGCCUUUUAGAUUAGUGGAUCUUUAUCCAAUAAUAUCACAUUGGCUCUUAUUGGAUCUCGUCCAUGGGAUCCAAUAAUUCAUGGGCUUAUUGGAUAUCCAAUAAGACAAGGGCUCUAGCGGAUAUCUCAUAUCCGAACCUUUACUUAUCGUAAUGCCUACCAUAUGUGUGUGACCCUCUAGACCCAAUAUCGAGUUGGCUGUGAGUUAUACUUGUCAGAACUCCUUCUAACUUAGUGAAUUAUUAUCUAUGCAAUAAUUCACUCGACUCAUCGACUACGGACGUAUUAGACCACUACGUCGUAGUCCCCAGACGAUACAGGGGAAUCCAAUCCAUUGGACCUGUCUGUCCUUAGUUACCGUGUACUUAUAGUCCCUCAUCCACCUAAUAUCCCAGAGACCGUAUAUCGAGCAUGGUGUUGUUAGACUCAUACGGUUUUUACUCGAGUCUCGCUCUACUCGGAUUCUCCCGGAGAACUGUUUCUCUCUUAACCCGAAUGGCCCUAGCCAGGGAUUUGUCUGAGCAAGAACACAUGGGAUAUUCCUCUCAUGAUGUCGAGAGUGGAUGAUUCUCUAUCGACACUCAAUAGCCCUCGUAAUGUCGACUGUCACUCCCAAUGACAAGUUGUAUUAGAUCUGGGACAGCCAAACCUAUAAGUCUGGUAUCAAAGAGUGGAGCACUCAUACAGGACAUCCUUGGUGUCUCAAGUCUAAGGACCAGAUACACCACUAGGACUACGGAAUUGCUGUCUAACAAUAAGGCAUCAUUAACCAUCCAACAUUCCGUAAGAGGAUCAAUCAAUUAACUCAUUCUCCAAUGAGCACCUAUACUAUAUCCCUAGUGUCCCUAUAUGAGCAACUAUGAAACCAACUGCAUCCAUCAUAUGGACGAGUAUACAGCACACCAAUUUGUCCGGUUAUUAUGAUGUCUCUUUCGAGUAACCUAUGAUCGGGAUUAUUUAUGAUAUGUGUUUAAAGGUAAAUCGAUCUUAUUAUCGUGAUCUCAUCACGAUCUGAUUCCCAUUGCACAGAUCCAAGGACAUCACAAUAUAUACAUGCAUAUAUGCAAUAGUUAAUAUAAAGUGAUAAAUAUCAAAAUAUAAUAAGUAAAAAAAAGAUUCUGUGUCAAGUCACACGUGUAUCACUCACGUGAUUGGCUUGUUGGGCACCUAUAACUAGCACCUCUCCGUCUCCAUUGAGGGAUUAUAGUUUUCUCAAAAAAAUCAUCAAUCUAAUUGGUCCCGUGAAAGGAUAGAAAGAGAGGAGAAAGGAUAUACUCAUUGUAGAUUCUGCAACGAUCUUGGAUUAAAGACGGUGCAUUGAAGAUCAAACAAAAAUAUUUGAACAAGCAUCAAAAGGUACGUAUCGUUAAACGAGAUCUAUGUAUUUGAUUUCAAUCCUGGUAUAAAGGUUAUUUUCGUAUUUUAAACAACACAUUACAGUUUUUUUGCUUACAAUUUGGUAUCAAAGCCUGGUUUUUUAAAUCAAACACAUUAUAUCUAUUAUUUUGAUGCAUGAUUGGCUUAGGUUUUGCAAAAUUAUAGUUUUACCCUUUGUAAAUUUCAUAAUUCUGAUUUAUGUUCUGUCAACAUAUUUAUGGUUUUUGUCAUCGGGUCUAAUUUCUAUCAAAUUAUAGUUCUACCCUUUAUAAAUCACAUGAUUUCAAUUUAUAUCCUUUCAAAUAUUUAUAGUUUUAUCGAAAUUGAGAAAUUUAGUUUAUAUUCUCAAUUAUAAAAUUGAUAAAUAUGAUUUAUUAUAAUUAUGAUUAAAUUUAAUCAUAAUUAUAUUUUUGAUUAUUUUAUUAUAUUUAAUUUUGAUAAAAAAUAUAAAUUAUGGUUUACUUUAUAGUUUUCUCAUAUGAAAUAUUAAUUAUAUAUGUAGUAAAUAAAAUCAAAAUAUAAUUAUUAUUUUUAAAAUUUUAUUUACUUAUUCACAUGUAUAUAUUUGAAAUUAUGAAAUAAUGUUUAUCUUUCACAUGAAGGCAUGAUUUAUAUGUUAUCAUGAUUAUCAUAUGAGUUUUCUUUUACUGAUUAAAGUUCAAUAAUUAUUAUGGUUAUUCUAUUAUUGAACUGCUUAGUGGGACUUGAAUGAGCUAACUAGCAUGUGUGGGACUUGAAUGAGCUAACUAGCAUGUGUGGGACUUGAAUGAGCUAUUAUUCACUAUAAUACAAAUAAGGAUAAGUGGGACUUGAAUGAGCUAACUAGCAUGUGUGUUCAGGAAGAAUUGAGAUUAAGACAGGAAAGUUCAUAUAAUGUCAUUACUACUACUCAAGGAGGUGGUAAUAAGAAAAGAAAGUUAAAGCAUCAUCCAUCAAAGAGAUUUGUCGAGUCUGAAAAUGUUAAACAGACUAAUGGAAAGAAAGUCUUUACUGUAAAGUAUUUUUUUUGUGACAAGAAAAGAACAUGUGAAGAAGGACUGCAUUAAAUGCAAGACUUGGUUCGAAAAUAAAGGUAUUAAUUCGACCUUUAUAUGUUUUGAAUCAAACAUUACAAAAGUUCCUUCAAACACUUGGUAGAUUGAUUCUGAUGCUUCAACUCAUGUUACCAAUAAGGAUUUCUUUCAAUUCCAAAACCAAAAGAACAUUAAAGAUUUAUUAAUAUGGGAAAUCGUCUUAAAGCGAAAGUGAUAUAAAUGAGAACUUAUCAUCUACGCAUAGAGACGGGUCACCUGAUGGAUCUUAUUGACACAUGUUAUGUCCCUACAAUUUCUAAAAAUUUAGUUUCUUUUUCUAGAAUUGAUGAGUUAGGAUAUUGUCUUUCUUUUGAUAGUGGCAAACUCAGUAUGUUUUAUGAUUCAAUAAAAGUUAGUUCCGGAAUUCUGUAUGAUGGUUUGUAUAGAAUUAAUUUGGAUAUUGAGUUUACAAAGACAUUAAUAACCCUACAAUCAAGUGUUAGAUUGAAACGUAGUUUCAAUAAUGAAAGAUCUUCUAUAUUGUGGCAUAUACGAUUGGUGCAUAUCUCCAAGGAAAAAAUUGAAAGAUUAGUGAGGAUAAUAUUUUGGAACAUUUAGACUUCACUAAUUUUGAUAUUUGUAUAGAUUGUAUUAAGGGAAAGCAAACUAAACAUAUAAAGAAAAAUGCCACAAGAAGUAAAGAAUUCGUUCAGAUUAUUCAUGCUGAUAUCUGCGGACCACUCCAUAUUCCUUGUUUUAGUGGAGAAAGGUAUUUUAUCACAUUUAUAGAUGAUCUGUCCAGAUAUGACUAUGUUUAUCUAAUACAUAAAAAGUCUCAAGCCAUUGAUACAUAAAUGAGGUCGUGAGACAAUUAGAUAUAAAAGUUAAAAUUGUCAGAUCUGACAAGUUUAAUGAAUUUUAUGGUAGAUAUGAUGGAUCUGGUUAGAAUAUUGGUUCUUUUGCUAGAUUCCUAGAACAAUGGGAUAUUUAUGCUCAAUAUGUAUUACCAGGUGUGCCAUAGCAGAAUGAUGUUGCUGAAAGGGGAAAUCAUACUCUUAUGGAUAUGGUUAGGAGCAUGAUAAGUUAUUCCUCUGUACUUAAGUCGAUGUGGUGUGAAGCUCUUAUAACAGCUAUGUACACAUUGAACAGGAUUCUUAGUAAGUCUGUUUCAUCGACUCCAUUUGAGUUAUGGACUGGUAGGAAGUCCAGUCUAAGACAUUUACAUAUUUGGGGGUGUCCUACAAAGAUAAAAGUAUUUAAUCCAUAUGAAACGAAAUUUGAUCUAAGAACUAUUUCAGGAUAUUUUAUUGGUUAUCUAGAAAAAUCCAAGGGAUACAGAUUUUAUUGCCCUAAUCAUAGUAUGAGGAUAGUAGAAUCUAGUAAUGCAAAAUUAUUAGAAAAUGGUGAAAUCAAUGGGAGUAAAAAAUCUUGAAUGAUUAAUUUUGAUAUUGAGGAGAUUUAGGUUAAUUCUCCUAUAUCAUCUCUUAUUUAAGAGAUUGUUGUUCCUCAAAUCAAUGAGAGUAUUAAUGAGGGUGAAUAAUAAAAUAACAUCGAAGAACUCUCACAUAAUGUUGAUGUCACCGCUGAUGAUCUUGUAGAACAAUCACAAUUGGCAGAUUUAAGAAGAUCUCAAAGGAAAAAGAAACAUGUCAUUUCUGAUGAUUAUGUGGUAUAUUUACAAGAAUCAAAUUAUUAUAUAGGAAUAAAAAGAGACCCCUUAUCGUUUCCACAAGCUAUAGAAAGUAAUGAUUAUGAAAAAUGGUAUGAUGCAAUGAAAGAAGAGUUAAAAUCAAUGGUUCAGAAUGGUGUCUAAGAUCUCGGUGAAAUGCCCAAUAAUUGUAAAAGAGUCGAUUGUAAAUGCGUCUUUAAGAUAAAAUGUGACUCAACGUGCAAUAUCAAACGAUUUAAAGCCAGACUUGUGGCCAAAGAUUUUUCUCAAAAGGAAGAUAUCGACUAUAAUGAGACUUUUUCUUCAGUUUCUAAAACAGACUCAUUGAGAAUUAUCAUGACAUUAGUAACUCAUUAUGAUCUUGAGUUUCAUCUGAUGGAUGUGAAAAUAACAUUUCUGAAUGGGGAUCUGGAUAAGGAAAUCUAUAUGGAACAACCUGAAGGAUUCGUAGAAAAGGGAAAAGAAGGUUAGGCUUGUAAACUUAAGAAAUCUAUUUAUGACAUUAAACAAACUUCUAGACAAUGGUAUAUAAAGUUUCAUAAUACCAUUACUUCCUUCGGAUUUAAGGAAAAUACUGUUGAUCAGGGUAUAUAUCUGAAGGUAAGUGAGAGCAAGGCAGCCUAUGUUAUUAGUAUUGAGAUAUUCAGAGAUAGAUCUCAAGGAUUAUUAGAAUUAUCUCAGAAAGGUUAUAUUGAUCGUAUGUUGGAGAGAUUUAAUAUGCAACUUUGCUCAGCCAAUGAUAUACCUAUUACUAGAGGUGAAAAUUUCAAUUAAAACCAGUGUCCAAGAAAUGACUUAGAAAAGAAUCAAAUGAAAAAUAUUCCUUAUGAGUGCGUAGUUGGAAGUCUAUUAUAUGCUCAAACUUGUACAAGACCAGAUAUCAAUUUUGCAAUUGCAAUACUGGGAAGAUACCAAAGCAACCCAGGAAUGAAACAUUGUAAAGCUGCAAAGAAAGUAAUGAGAUAUGUACAAGGAACGAAAGAUUAUAUGCUCACAUAUAGGAGAUCAGAUCAGCUUGAAGUAAUAGGAUAUUCAGAUGCUGAUUUUGUAAAUUGCCUCGACAGUAGGAAGUCCACUUCAGGAUUUAUAUUUAUGUUAGCUGGUGGGGCAAAUUCUUGGAAAAGUGUAAAGCAAUCACUUAUUGCAUCAUCCACAAUGGAAGCUGAAUUUGUGACAUGCUUUGAGGCCACAAAUCAAGUUUUAUAGCUGCGAAAUUUCAUCUCAGGAUUUGAUAUGGUCGACUCAAUUGCCAAACCACUGAAUAUAUUUUGUGAUAAUACCACAACAGUUUUCUUCUCUAAGAAUGACGAGUAUUUUAGUGGUUCCAAGCAUAAUGAGAUAAAGUACUUUGUAGUUAGAGAAAGAGUCCAGAAACAGCAAGUGCCAAUUGAGAACCUGAACACCACUAUGAUGAUUGCUGAUCCAUUAACAAAGGCCUUACAAUAUAGAAUAUUUAAAGAACAUGCUCUUAGAAUGAGGCUUGUGCGCAAGUCAUAAAGGAUAUGAUGACACAUAUUUAUAUGGAUGUUAUUAUUAAUAUUCUUCUUGCUUAAUUAAACUUAUUUGUUUCUGCCAUCCUUUUUACAUUUAUGUUUAUGCAUAUUAUAGUUGAAUGUAAUAACAAGAUAAAUUAUCAUUAUAGACUAUAUUAGGAAAGACUAACAAUGUUGUGGUACAUAGAAGGAAGUAUGACAUUGAUGAAAUACAACCGCUAUGAUUCGUAUUGAUAGUUGGACUUAAUAUAGUAUUAUUAUGUUUAUUGGACUUAUUGGCUUAUUAAAAAAAAAACAUGGCCACGUAUAAAAUAUUUUUCAAAAUUCUUUAGAAUCCAAUUAGGUAAAAUUAUUUUUUAAAUAAAUUUUAUUUUUAUUUAUUUUGAUUUUGAUUAUCUCUUUUAUAUCUUAUCAAUUAAUGGAUCAAGUGGGAGAAUGUUAGAUUUUCUGAACAGAUGACAUCAAACAAAAAUUUCUGAACAAAUGACAUCAAAAGAUAGCAUCGUUAAACGAUAUCAAUAUAUUUGAUUUCAAUCUUGACAUAAAGGUUAUUUCCGUAUUUUAAACAGCAUAUUACUGUUUUUAUUUUUACAAUAAUAGGUUUUCAUUCAUAAUUUUAUUAAACGAGAUCGACAUUUCUUUUUAUUUCAGCCUUAUCAUAUAAUAGUUCAUCUCCUGACAUAUCUGAUCGCCGUGGCUUUAAUUAUCGUCUCGCGGAUCACGCGAUUGCGGUGAGACGGACGUCGUCAUAAUAGACGACAUAGAUGUCGAAGGCGGCGACGAGUCCCGCUUUGUCGGACGUCACCAGUUUGCUCACCAUGUUCCCCGACGCGAACUGGAACACCCCCGUCCCUCCCACGAUGGCCCGGUCCGCCUUCCCGGAGGUGUCCAUCCUCCCUAUCACCGUGAGCGUGCUGUCGCAGAAGUCCCCCGCCGUGAACACCAGCACCAGCGGUAUCAGCGACGACUCGUCCCGCUGCGACGCGUGGAAGCUCACGCCCUGUGCCCUCCCGACUUCAGUCGAACGCUUGGAGGGGCCGGUCCUCAGCACGGCGUCGAAGAUGUCGACGUCCCCGAAGGUGUUGGGGAGGCUCAUGUUCACCACGGUCACGGUGGUGUUGUCGGGGCCGAGAAAGGUCUCGUGGAAGUAGACGCGGAAAUGGAUUCUGCUCUGCCGGCCGAGUUCGAACUCGGAGGUCACCGGGAAGGCCGUGGCAGCAGCCAGGAGGAGGAAGAAGACGAGGAGGAAGUAGAGAUGAGUGAAGCUAUUUGGGGAUGAAGCCAUGGCUAGGAUGACCGAAGGAUCGAAGUGAGGUGGGUACAACGCUGGAUCAGGAACAUGUAUUUAUAGAGUAAAGUCUGUGCCAUGCGUCGUCAACAAAUGCCAACGUCCAACCAAAUCUCAUUAUCAUGUCUACAUAAAAUACUCAAACGAAUAUUACUCUUGCAGGCGAAGGUAUCCGCGUAGGGAAGAAGAUAGCAUAUAGUAACACGAUGUACACACCAUAUAGUCUUCUCCAUGAAUAAAUAAAUAUAUAAAUAUAUAUAUAUUUUUUUUAAAUAUAUUAAUAUAUAUGAUCUCUAGCAAUGGAUAUGGGUAACUGAGAGAUGGAGGGAUGAUAGUUGGAAGCAAUGGCCGAUAAGGAUAGUGUUGCGUCUUUUGCAAGUGCCAACUGGCCACCUGUAGCUCGUCAAUUUGCUUGUUAAUUAACGAACCACAUUGGCAACGCUAUCUUUCUUUAUGUGUUUCAACACAGAUGUACGCGGUUGGCUGAUGGCCGUCAGUCCCGUUUGUUCGCAUCUUCAGUUGUUGACAUGUGGUAAUGAAGUGUUGGUUCCCAUGCGUGACCGCUACCCCACCACUGCACUUAAAGUCGCGACGUAAUUAUUGACCGACGGUGCGAUGCAAAACCUUCUCUCGCCAAUCAAGUCAUUCGUGACUCAAGUGGCGCUAUUAACCAUCUUUUGCUUUACAGUAAUCAAAGAAAAGCUCACAUGAUUUGUUCUCAUAUCAGCAUAGCAAAUGAAUUUUAUGUGAAUUUUAAUAUACAUACAUAUUCUCUCCUGUCAAAACAUAUCCUAAACUCAUGUUUAUUUUCACCACUAUAUAUAUCAACACGAGACCAAAAAACAAAAAGGGAUGGGAUGACAUAAAGCAUGUCAAUGUUGAUGGGGAUAUAAAGAGGAAUAACCUUUUGUAUAUGAACAAAUACUAGAAGACCAUAUACGCAGCGAAAUAAAAUGGAAACACAAUCAAAUAGAACACCAAGAUAUACGUGGAAAAUCCCUUCAAUGUGAAGGGUAAAAACCACGGGGCAAACUAGAGAUAAUCCACUAUGAGAAUAAUGAAUAUACAAAUCUCAAUCUCUUACCCAAAACCCUAGCAAUAACCACAAGAGGAUAACUGGGAUACAAGGAUCACGUCACUGCCCACAAUAUCUAAAACCUCCCCAAGUAAUCACAGCAAGAGUCUACUGUAGAUUUGAUCUAACCUGAGAUGAGAACACUGCUAGAUGAUUGAGAACAGUCUCUCUGCGUUGUCCUUGUCUUCUUCCCUUUCUUUCUCUUAUUUUUCUACCUUGUUCUUCUCUCUUUGUUGUUACGAGGAUGUCAACGUUGCUGCCCACGUUGCUGCUUGUAAAACGCAGCCCCCACACCCCCCUUAUAUUGAUCUAGGGUUAGGUCAAAGGGGUGUGGGUUGUGGGCUGAAUCCACUUUGGGCUGCCAGCCCAACAACCUCCUCCUUCAGCCCAUAAGGGAGGUUGUCCCAUGACUCCUCAAUGUGAAGCCAUGCCGACCAACUGUCGGCAUAUCUCCUGUCUUUCUUUUGGUAAGGUCUUCGUCAACAUGACUGCUCCGUUGUCAUCUGUAUGAAUUUUCUGAAGCUGCAACUACUUCUCUUCAAAUACAUUUCGAAUCCAGUGGUAUCUAACAUCUAUAUUCUUUGACUUGGAAUGAAACAUUGGGUUCUUAUACAAAUGGAUGACACUCUGGCUGUCACAAUGCACCACAUAAUUUUCCUGUUUCAGCCCCAAUUCUUGUAAGAAUUCUUUCAUCCAUAAUAUUUCUUUGCAUACCUCUGUAGCAGCAAUAUAUUCUGCUUCUGUGGUAGAGAGAGCAAUACACCUUUGCAACCUGGAUUGCUAUGACACAGCUCCCCCUGUAAAAGUAAGUACAUAACCUGAAGUAGACUUCCUCGUAUCUAUAUCUCUUGUCAUAUCUGCAUCUUUGUAACCUGUCAACAUAGGUGGUCUACCUCCAAAGCUUAAAUAAACCUUAGAGCUCCCUUUGAGAUAUCUAAAAAUCCACUUCACUGCUGCCUAGUGCUCUUUGCUUGGAUUUGCAAGAAAUCUGCUAGUAACACCCACUGCAUAUGCGAUGUCUGGCCUUGUACAUACCAUUGCAUACAUUAAACUCCCAACUGUUGAAGCAUAAGGAACCUUUUGCAUUUUCUCCUUCUCCUCAUCACUUGAUGGGCUCUGUUCUGAGCACAACUUGAAGUGACUUGCAAGAGGAGAACCAACUGGUUUUGCAUUGCUCAUACUGAAUCUUUCCAAUACCUUCUCGAUGUAUUUCUUCUGUGACAACCAAAUCUUCUUGUUUUUUCUGUCACGAGAAAUCUGCAUGCCUAGUAUUUGCUUUGCUGGCCCCAUGUCCUUCAUUGCAAAAGACUCACUCAGUUCCUUCUUUAACCUGUCAAUUUUAGACAUAUCUUUCCUAAGAAUAAGUAUGUCAUCAACAUAAAGUAAGAGAAUAAUAAAAUCCUCACCAAACCAUUUGAUGUACACACAAUGAUAUGAAGUCGUUCUUUUAUAUCCAUUUUCUGUCAUAAAUGAAUCAAACUUUCUGUACCACUGUCUUGGAGCUUGCUUUAGCCCAUACAAGCUCUUCUUCAACUUGUAGACAAGAUUAUCUUUACCUUUGACUUUGAAGCCUUCUGGUUGCUCCAUAUAAAUUUUCUCCUCUAAAUCACCAUGAAGGAAAGCUGUCUUCACAUCUAACUGCUCAACCUCUAAGUCCUGGCUAGCAACAAUACCAAGAGCAAUACGAAUAGAAGACAUUUUAACAACAGGAGAAAAUAUCUCUUCAAAGUCAAUACAUUUCUUUUGACCAAAGCCUUUCACAACCAAUCUAGCUUUGUACUUUGGUUGAGAACAAUAUUCUUGAGUCUUCAACCUAAAAACUCAUUUGUUCUUCAAGGCCUUCAUUCCAUUUGGUAGUAGCACCAAAUCAUAAGUGUGGUUCUUCUGAAGAGCAUCAAUCUCUUCCUGCAUAGCAACUAACCACUUCUCUUUCUGCUCACUCUCAACUGCUUCCUGGUAACUUUCUGGUUCACCUGCAUCAGUAAGCAUCACAUACUCAUUUGUAGAGUAUCUUCUGGAAGGUUGACGUUGUCUAGAAGAUCUUCUCAACUGAGGUUCUGCGGGAACUUGCUCUCCUACUUCUUCUUGCUCAACAUGUCCUACAGGUAAAUCAACAUCAGGCUCUACACUAUUUUCCUGCACAUCUCCCCCAUCACCCUGAUAUACUGGAGGAAUAACUAGGUCACAAUCUGCUAAUCGUUCUGCAGAAGUCUUGGCUAGUGCCUUCUUCUUCAAAUCCUCAAAGGUUUGAUCCUCAAAGAAGACCGCAGCUCUGCUCCUGAACACCUUCUGCUUUUCUGGAUCCCAAAGCCUAUAACCAAACUGAUCAUGUGAGUAACCAAGAAAAAUACAUUCUUUAGACUUACCAUCCAGCUUGGACCUCUCAUUAUCUGGAAUAUGUGCAAAUGCACGACAACCAAACACUCUCAAAUGCCUAUAGGAAACAUCUUUCCUUGACCAUACAUGCUCUGCAACAUCACCAUCUAGGGUUGUACAUGGUGAUAAGUUGAUCACAUCAACUGCAGUCCUCAAAGCCUCAUCCCGAAACCUUUUGGGUAGCUUGGCCUGUGAAAGCAUACAUCUGAUCUUUUCCAUGAUGGUGCGGUUCAUCCUCUCUGCAAUUGCAUUAUGCUGAGGUGUACCAGGAACUGUCAUCUCAUGUUGGAUCCCAUGUGACCUGCAAUAGUCAUUAAACAAUCCCGUAUACUCACCACCAUUAUAUGAUCUUAUGCAUUUCAAUUUCCUUUCUGUCUCCCUUUCAACCCUGGCAUGAAACUCUUUGAAGACAUUAAUAACCUGAUCUUUGGUCUUCAAAGCAUAAGCCCAAACUUUCCUGGAAAAAUCAUCUAUAAAAGUGACAAAAUAAAGUGCACCACUUAUACCAAGAACAUCAACAGAUCCACCAGGAGUUUUUGUCCUCAAAGGACCACAUACAUCUAUAUAAACACGGUCUAAGGCAUGCAUUUUUCUAGACAAAGCAGCAUUAGCAAAUGAAACUCUAUGUUGUUUACCAGCCAAACAAUCAAUACAAGGGUUCAGAUGUAUACCUCUGAGAUCUGGCAAUACCUCUCUCUUGGAAANNNNNNNNNNNNNNNNNNNNCUAUACCUGUAUGUAGCAAAAAACUCUCUCCGAGGUGUAGCAUGAUAAGAAGCACCUAUGUCAAUCACCCACUCAAGAUCCUGACACACACAAGAAAAAAUAUCAUCAGAAUGAGACAAAAUCAAAUAAUCACCACCCUGCACUGUAGCUAUAGUAUUAUCCUUUGACUCUGUAGACUCCACUUCUUUUUCCUUUUUCUUGUUCUUCUUAGGUUGCUUACAUUGGUUCUUGUAAUGUCCUUUCUCACCACAGUUAUAGCAAACAAUAUCUUUUCUUGAUCUUGACUUGCUCCUACCCAUACGUGAAUUGCUUAUAGACUUUGACCUUCCUCUGUUCUCUGAGAUAAGUGCCUGUGAAUCAUUCUGAGAUGUUGCUGAACUCUUUCUUCUCAACUCCUUAUUCAACAAACUGCUUGUUACUUGACUCAUAGUGACAAUACCAUCUGGCGCAGAAUUACUAAAGGAAACCACCAGUGUCUCCUAACUUUCUGGUAAUGAACUGAGAAGUAACAAUGCCUGCAACUCAUCAUCAAGAGACAUUUUCAUAGAGGAUAACUGGUUAGUAAUACUUUGCAUUUCAUUCAAAUGCUCAGCAAUAGAAGCACCCUCUCUAUAUUUUAGGUUCACAAGUUUUCUGAUCAAAAAAGCUUUGUUGCCAAUUGUUUUUCUUUCAUAGAGACUUUCCAAUUUUUUCCAAAGAGAAUAUGCAGAAAUUGCAGUAGAAACAUGGUGAAAGACACUAUCAUCAAGCCACUGUCUAAUAAACCUAAUUGUUUUUCGAUCUAACCUCUUCCACUCAUCAUCUGUCAUAGUUGUAGGUUUUGCACUAUCCCCUUGCAAAGGUCCAUUCAAAUCUUUGCAAUACAAGAGAUCUUCCAUUCUUGGUUUCCAUAUCAUCCAAUUAUUUUCAUUCAAACUAAUCAUGCGAGAAACAUUACUGGCCUUCAUGUUCAAAUACAAAAAUUAAAUUACCAAAAUCCCGCUCUGAUACCAGUUGAUGGGGAUAUAAAGAGGAAUAACCUUUGUAUAUGAACAAAUACUAGAAGACCAUAAUACGCAGCGGAAUAAAAUGGAAACACAAUCAAACAGAACACCAAGAUAUACGUGGAAAACCCCUUCAAUGUGAAGGGUAAAAACCACGGGGCAAACUAGAGAUAAUCCACUAUGAGAAUAAUGAAUAUACAAAUCUCAAUCUCUUACCCAAAACCCUAGCAACAACCACAAGAGGAUAACUGGGAUACAAGGAUCACGUCACUGCCCACAAUAUUUAAAACAUCCCCAAGUAAUCACAGCAAGAGUCUACUGUAGAUUUGAUCUAACCUGAGAUGAGAACACUACUAGAUGAUUGAGAACAGUCUCUCUGCGUUGUCCUUAUCUUCUUCCCUUUCUUUCUCUUGUUUUUUUGCCUUGUUCUUCUCUCUUUGUUGCUACGAGGAUGUCAACGUUGCUGCCCACGUUGCUGCCUUUUUCUGCCUCUUUUCUGCUUGUAAAACGUAGCCCCCACACCCCCCUUAUAUUGAUCUAGGGUUAAGUCAAAGGGGUGUGGGUUGUGGGCUGAUAAAGCCCGGGCUGAACCCACUUUGUGCUGGCAGCCCAACAACGUUACAUGUGAAUCACGCCUACAUAAUCCUUGACCUACCAAAGGUGUGGUUGAUUGUCAAAGUUCAUCAUUAUUAUGUAAGGUAUAUAUUUUUUAAGCAGAUCGUCAAAUGCCAGCGCAUGCCGUGUUAUAUUUCAAAGUGCAUAGAUGACCCAAUCCGUGUGUAAUGUCUCCUACUUAGUUGUCCCCUCACGCAAUGCAUUUCUUUAUGAGUAUACGUAUACUUCCACCUGAUCACAACAUCCAUAUUAAAGCUUAUGUAGGUGCAGCGAAAUUAGUUAUUCGUCGAUAAAUAGGAGAAAAAUGGCUAACAAGUCUUAUUAAAACCAUUAAUUAAGAAUUUAGAGAAGAGAUAGUAUCAUAUUUGAUUUCACAUUGAUCAGAGACUUAGGGAAUCAAUACCUAAUACCUAAUAAAGAGUCAAAUACAAAUUUUCUUUUUUUGACAGACAACUUUUGGGAUCCACCUUAAAAAAGGAAAGAUCAUGUGGUUCCGCUUAACAAUUUAUGAUUCAAAAGAGCUCGUGAUUGACCUUUUAUUCAAUGGGGUGAAUAAGUUUGUGAAAAUAAGAAUAUUAUUUGGAUAAAAAUAAAUAGUAAAAAAAUGAUCAAAUGGUGUGUGGACACGUGGCAUAUUCAUCAAUGUUUAAAGCAGCAGAUCGCACGAGUAGUAACAACUACCAAAGCACUCUCCACGAUGAGAAAGGGCGGCGGGGGCGGGGAAGUGACACGAUGUGAAAGAAUCAUAGAGGCGGCUCUCCUCUCUACCCUCCUUUCUCUUCUCCCUGCCACACGUCCUCCUCUUUAAUCGCAGAUUCGUGGACGAUCGAGUCCGGCGGCGACGAGCGCGAUGUGAGUUUGAGUCUCGUCUCUUGAGUGCAGUCAGAUUUCUGCACACAGAUCGAGAUCGGAAGAAAGAUUUUUUUGAUUUAACUCUUUCGAUGCCGAUCAGGGGGUUAGCUUUUAUACUUGCAAAUAAGGGUCGAUCGUACGUGAUCUGUUAAUAGUGGCCAACUCCUCGAGCGAUCGGUUUGUACCUCUUGUGCGAGCGUCGAUCGACCUACAUUGAUCCACAUUGUGUGACAUCGUUCCGAGCUUUCCGGAGUGGCUUUGUGCUAUGUAGCGUUGUCUCGUACGACCUCGGACAGUAUGAGAACAUGCGAUCGUCCUAUCCGAGUACGAGAUGUCACGUCGAUGCAAUGCAUCAUAUCAACCCUGAGGCUCCAUGUUGGCGCUGAUUGAUAGCAUAUAAGACAUCAUAUCAACCUUUGCCCUAUGAUCGAGGAAACGAAACCUAGUCUUAUGGUAUCUUUUUCCCCUCCGUUUAAAUUCACUUCUUCCCUUUGAUCACGCGUGUAAAAGAAGCUUAACCGGAGGAAUGUAAGAGUUGUCUCACGUUUUUGAGCUUUUUGUACCGUAACCUAAUAAGUUCUCUUGAUUUUAGAGUGAAUUAGGCAUUGCAUUUGGUUGAUAUGUAUGCAACUAAGUACAUCUGUACGUACAGCAGCAACUCAAGUGGAUAUGUGUUAUUUUCAGUUCCCAUCAAAACUUUGAAUAGUCGAUUUUAGUUUUUUUUUUAAAUAUGUAGCCAAAGAAAGUCCCUUUCACGGAAUCUUCCUUCGGCAUGCUGCAGUUGAUUAUAAAUCGAUCGUAAAAUAUAUAUUAAAAUGAUUUGAGGUUAAUAACCCAAGCAUAUAUUGAAUAAUAAUUUAUUGAUAAAAUUGUGUAUUAUUCGAUUGAAAGGAAACCGAAGGCAUGAUAAGUUUUUGUCUUAUGUUUGUUGUAUCAUCAAAAGACAUGAACCAAAAUACGGUUCACUGCUUCAACAUGAUCUUCGGUUUACAGAUGAAAGGCUAUAUUGUUCUUCAGCUUGAUGUUCCUGAUGGUCCAAAGUGAACUUGCUAAAAGAAAAAACACUCGUCAUGAUCACGAUGGAAUAAUAUUUCAAACUCUCAAUUUUUAAUAUAAAAUUGUAUGUAUCCAAGAGCUGGUUGGAGAAUUGUAUAUGAUAUGUCUAUAGUUCUCCGAGUUCUGAUAUUUUCGAAGUUUGUUUCAAUAGGUUUUUAUUCAUAAUAUUAAUAAACGAGAUCGAAUAAUUCUUUUUAUUUUAGCCUUAUUAUUUAUUCUGCAGACGUAAAGCAAGUUAAACAUUGUUAGCUCUUAUUUAAAUGCUGUAGCUUUCAUUAUCGUGUCUCGGAUCACGCGAUGGAAGUGAGACGGACGUCGUUAUGGUACAUGACGUAGACGUCGAAGGCGGCGACGAGUCCCGCAUCGUCGGACGUCACCAGCUUGCUCACCAUGUUCCCCGACGCGAACUGGAACACCCCCGUCCCUCCCACGAUGGCCCGGUCCGCCUUCCCGGACGCGUCCAUCCUCCCGAUCACCGUGAGCGUGCUGUCGCAGAAGUUUCCCCCCGUGAACACCAGCACCAGCGGUAUCAGCGACGACUCGUCCCGCUGCGACACGUGGAAGCUCACGCCCUGCGCCCUUCCGAAUUCAGUCGACCACUUGGAGGGGCCGAUCCUCAGCACGGCGUCGAAGAUGUCGACGUCUCCGAAGGUGUAGGGGAGGCUCAUGUUCACCACCGUGACGGUGCCGUUGUCGGGGCCGAGAAACGUCUCGUAGAAGUAGACGCGGAAGUGGAUUCUCUUAUGGAUGCCGAGUUCGAACUCGGAGGUGACGGGGAAGGCCGUGACAGCAUCAAGGAGGGGGGAAGAAGACGAGGAGGAAGUAGAGAUGAGAGGAGCUGCGUGGGGAUGAAGCCAUGACAAAAGGAUCGCGGGCACGAUGAAAAUAAUAGAAAAUAAGAAUAAUUAUUAAAAAAAAAUUAUUAAAAAAGUUUUAUUGAAGUACUUCAGCUUGAAUACAUUAAGUUGCCCAUGUACUAUUUAUACAGAUUAGGAGAGAGGAUUUUUCUUAACAGAAUAAAGGAUUUCACUCAAGAUGGUGCACCUGUCAAGGAUACCAAUCUUGGAUCGAUGCAAAGAAUGAUUUACGAGUUAGAGGCUUCAUGAGUAGGGCAAGAGCAGAUUGCUGUUGCUGUUGUUGCUGUUGCUAUUAUUGUAGCUGCGACAGCGAUAGCUGCAGUAGAGGAGAAAGCUACAGUAAUAGAAAAAGCUAUAGCAAUGCUGUAGCAGAGGAAUAAACUGCAGUAGAGAAGGAAAUUGCAGCAGAGGAGAAAACUACAGUAGAGGAGAAAGCUGCAAUGAUGCUACAAUAAAAAAGGAUACAACAAAGGAGGAAAGGUGGGGCAGUGCUGGUGAAUGUAGCACUAGAGACGUCAUAGCGGAAUAAGAGACGUUAGUGCAGAGUGGUAGUGGAUAAGACAGUUGUCGUUCACCGAGGAGGAAAGAUUUAAAGAUUUAUUGUCGGAGGUGGAAAAGAUGAGUCGGAGGAAAGAUUUAUCAUCGGAGGUGGAAAAGCAACAGAUGAGUCGAUAGCGAGAAGAAAGUAACAUAUGAGUCGAUACUUAAACUUAGAGAUGGAAGAUGGUUCCCGAGUGUGAUCGGUGCGUCUCGUGCAUUUAUUAUAGAGGAUCGUCAUAUGCCUUGUUCGCUUUCAAUGUAAAUAAUUGACCAAAUCCGUGCGCAAUCUAAACCACAUAGUGGCCCAUCAGACAAUGCAUUUCUUUCUCAUGAUGUGUUUGCUUCACCUAUUUCAACUGUUUAUGCGGUCCACAUUAAAUCUUCUGUCGGUUCAGCAAAAUUGGCUAAUUAUCGUUUCUUAAUGUUGAAAAUGUAUAACAAGUCUGUGUAAGACUCUCAAUUAAAAAUUUUAAACACAUUUAGUCCCAAAUUGAUUAGAGAUUUAAAGAGUUAAUAUCUAAUCAAAUACCUUGAAAGGAAAAGAUCCCUGCACUCCUACUUAACAAUUUAUUAACAUUAAAAGAGCUCAAGAUUAAUUUUUUUUUAUUGACGUAAAUAAUUUGUGAAAAAUAAAGGUAUUAUUUUGGAUAAAAUAAAUAGUAAAAAAAGGGAUCAAAUUGAUUAUUGAAACAUCACAUUUUCACGAAUCUUAAAGCAACAGACUGCAUCAGUAAGUAAUAUAUAAUUUUGGAUAAAAAUAAAUACUAAAAAAGAUGAUCAAAUGAAUUAUGGACACAUGCUAUAUCUACCAAUCUUAGUGCAGCAGAUUGCAUUAGUAACCAACGACCAAGAUGAGAAGGAAGGGGGAAAUGACGAUGUGAAGAAUCCACAGAGGUGGCUCUCCUCUCUGUCCUCUUCGGUAGCAACGAGCACGAUAUGGUGAUCAAGGUCCGAUCUCUUACUAUUCCUUCUUUUCCAAUUUUCCCAAUCUUGGUUAGAGUUUUAAUUUGAUGGAGUGCUUGACGCCGUCUUGUAGUUUUUUGAUGUCAAAUUCUUGGUUCGAUCUACUGUUCGAUCAAAAUCUUUGAUGGUCCUACAACCUAGUUGCUCUAUGAUCAACAAAAAGGAAACCUAAUAUUAUAGUAUUUGAUAGGUAUAAUCCUAACACUUGUCAGUUCUUUUAUCGUAUAGGUCAAAGAAGCAACACCUAAGCAUCAGCAUGGGAGUCACCUGCUCCCUGCAACCGCUAGCAUAUAAACUCAUCUAGUUUGAGUUGCAUCACGGGAUAAAUCUGAGGACUCUAUAUAUUAAAAAAAUCCACCCUUUAUAUUGUUAUUGUCAUAUGAUAUUGGGGUAGAAUCUAAUAAAUGACACAGUUACUCUACGUACACACACACACUUAUAUAUAGUCUUAUAGAUGUGGACAUGUGACAUCAACUAAAUGAGCAAUUUAAAAACUAAAAUGCAUUUGUACCUAUUAAGUUUUGUUUUCCAACAUAUAACUUAAUUUAAGAGGGCAAUGCACCAGUUAUGAUUCAAGUAUUAUUCGACAACAUUCACUAAAUCACUCGAGGUUUUAAAAGUCAAAUUUAGAUAAGGACCAGGACAAAAUGAAACUCGAUCAUGAAAAUUAAAACUUCUAAAUAGGAAGAAAUACAAUAUCAUUUUGUUCAGAUAAGUACACAACAUUCCCGUAUUAAUCUAUAUAUUGUAGCCUACUAAUUUAAAAGCACUGUAAGAUUACAAUGUAAUCAACCUAAAAAUAGGCCCUUCCUCAGCGCCACCAAUUGCAUGUAGCCAUCAUCCAAAACGUCGUCUUAUAUGAUUCUGUAAGAAGACUCUUAUAGAAGUUUUUAUGUGCCCACAUAUUAUCAACAUGGGCCGUGCCACAAUGCAGAAAGCCUUACUCAUGCAACAUUAUUAAAUCAUUCAUAUGCAAAGGAAUUCAUGAAUCACAAUAAAUUGCUAGUUACCUCCUUGAUAACAACUAACAAUGUAGAGGAGACCUAAAAAGGUCUAAAUUAUAAGACCCAUAAGUUUAAUUGAUGACAACUUGUUUCUUAAGCACGGUCGUGGGAGUCACUUAUUUCCUAAUAAGUGAUGUGAUUUUUAGAAAGUAAAUAAUAUACAAUCCAUUUUCAUGUGUGAAUAAUAAUGAAUGAAUAUUACAUUUCUAUCUUUAUAUGUGAAAAUAAAAUAAAAAUUAAAUUUAAAAUAAUAAUUAAAUAUUUACUUAAUUUUCAGAGAGAUUUCAUCUUCUCCUGUAUAAAGGAGCUCCCCCUCCCUCGUUCCACACCGAGCACAAUAAAAGUAUUGAAGAAAAGAUUUUUCAAGAAGAUGAUUUUGAGGUGAGGUAAGAUCCUCUAUUCUUUUCUAAUCAAAUUUUAUUCAUAUUUUAAAAUCUUUAAUAUUAAAAUAUUUUCUAUUCUAUUCUAAUCAGUUUUGAUUCAUAUUUUGAAAUCCUUGAUAUUAAAAUUGUUGUGAUCGUAUGAUACAUAAUAAUAUUUUAAUUUUAAAAUUUCAUAAUUAAUAAAUAAAUAAUAAUUGAUUUAUAAUGUUACAUUGAUUAUUUGAUUUAUAAUGGUCUUUUAAGCUUAAGUGACUUUUAAGAUUGAUUUAAUUAUUAAAACUUUUAUUUUAUUAUAUUAAUAUAAUAGUUUUAAUUUAUUUAGUUAUACAUAUUUGUAUUUCAAAAAUUAGCUAUGAAUUUGGAUGACUUAAUUAGUUUUAAAUUUAAGAUUAUAAAUUUAAAAUUUUUAAUUUAUAAAUUUAAAUUAUUUUUUUCAUAAUUUAAAAUAUUAAAAUCUAAUUUGAUGAGAGAAGUCUAACUUGAAGUCUGACUUGAGCUAGGUUGAUCUGUUAAAUCGAGUCAAUCCAACUCUUAUAUAUGAUUUAUUAUAAUUUAUAUAUUUUUAGAUUUAUAAAAUAUAUAAAUUCAUAUUUUGCUCAUACUUAACUCAUGAAAAUCAUAUUAUUUUAAACAUACUUUCUAAAAUAUAUUAUACAUAUAAUAAGAUAUAUGACUAUUAUUAUAUAGUAAAUUAAAUUUAUGCAUACUAGAUUAAAUUUAAAAAUAAAAAUAUUAAUAAAAAAUUACGUUCCUUAAUGAUUGAGUGGGCCAAAGAGGGAUAGACCUACGAGCAAAAGGUUAUGAUAUGUUUUGAUUAAGAACCCUGCCUCUUCAAUUAUUAAUUUAUAGUAAUUUAUAACAAUAAUUCAUAAAAAAAUAAUAAUUUUUUUAAUAAAAUAAGCUAUACCUAUCAAUAUCUCAAGUUAUUCCUUGUCCGUAGCUAAAAUUAAACUAUAUUUAGUGUCCAAAGAUUAAAGAUCCAUGACAAAGUAUGAUGUCAGUAAUUAUGUAUUAAUUGCGUGAUACAAAAAGGUGAAACAUCGUUUGUCCGUUCUCAUAUUUGCUUCCAUGUCCAAUGCUUUAAUUACAUUAUAUUAUAUGCGACAUUGACACGUUCUCAAGUUCACAGAAACACACAACACUAACAAUAUGAUCCAUCGACCAUUUUGUACCCACUUGUUUCAGUUUUCUUUGUGUGUUUCCGGGAAAAAAAAAAAGACUUUAUGUAGUACGAAGUUUGAUAAUUUUUUAGAAUUAUAGUAGAUUAUAAUGAAAAAAAUGACAGAUAACCUAUCCUUAAUGUCACUCUACAGGAUAUGAGUUUUUUACCACAUAAUACUCGUUUAAUUCUUUCGAAGUAAUUAGAUCUUUUUCUUCUUUCAAGAAUUUUAUAUGAUGCAUAAUACUGCUACUAAUUCUAAAUAGGAGAAGAAUUGAUUUAUACAGUCAUAUAUACCUAAAAAAAUAAAACAUGUCACCGUACUGUGCUGCCAAAUAUCGACGUUUGUAAAAGCAUUUCUUUUUCAAUAAUAAGAAGCUCUAAUUUAUUUUCAGAUAAAGAUGAAGAACAAAGUGACACGUAGAAUAGCACUUCUUUCAGCCUUUUGUUUUGUCCUUAUUCCGACCGCUGGCUUCAUGGAGUGACGCCAUAGCCGGAGUUCUUUUUGUCUUGUAUUAAGCGUCGGUGUAGUAGAUGACGUAGACGUCGAAGGCGGCGACGAGGCCCUCGACCGAGGACGUCACCAGCUCGCUCGCCAGCUUCCCCCAUGCGUACUGGAACACCCCCGUCCCACCCACGAUGGCCCGCUCCGCCUUCCCGGACGCGUCCAGUCUCCCGAUCGCCGUGAGCGUGCUGUCGGCGAACUCCCCCGNNNNNNNNNNNNNNNNNNNNNNNNNNNNNNNNNNNNNNNNNNNNNNNNNNNNNNNNNNNNNNNNNNNNNNNNNNNNNNNNNNNNNNNNNNNNNNNNNNNNNNNNNNNNNNNNNNNNNNNNNNNNNNNNNNNNNNNNNNNNNNNNNNNNNNNNNNNNNNNNNNNNNNNNNNNNNNNNNNNNNNNNNNNNNNNNNNNNNNNNNNNNNNNNNNNNNNNNNNNNNNNNNNNNNNNNNNNNNNNNNNNNNNNNNNNNNNNNNNNNNNNNNNNNNNNNNNNNNNNNNNNNNNNNNNNNNNNNNNNNNNNNNNNNNNNNNNNNNNNNNNNNNNNNNNNNNNNNNNNNNNNNNNNNNNNNNNNNNNNNNNNNNNNNNNNNNNNNNNNNNNNNNNNNNNNNNNNNNNNNNNNNNNNNNNNNNNNNNNNNNNNNNNNNNNNNNNNNNNNNNNNNNNNNNNNNNNNNNNNNNNNNNNNNNNNNNNNNNNNNNNNNNNNNNNNNNNNNNNNNNNNNNNNNNNNNNNNNNNNNNNNNNNNNNNNNNNNNNNNNNNNNNNNNNNNNNNNNNNNNNNNNNNNNNNNNNNNNNNNNNNNNNNNNNNNNNNNNNNNNNNNNNNNNNNNNNNNNNNNNNNNNNNNNNNNNNNNNNNNNNNNNNNNNNNNNNNNNNNNNNNNNNNNNNNNNNNNNNNNNNNNNNNNNNNNNNNNNNNNNNNNNNNNNNNNNNNNNNNNNNNNNNNNNNNNNNNNNNNNNNNNNNNNNNNNNNNNNNNNNNNNNNNNNNNNNNNNNNNNNNNNNNNNNNNNNNNNNNNNNNNNNNNNNNNNNNNNNNNNNNNNNNNNNNNNNNNNNNNNNNNNNNNNNNNNNNNNNNNNNNNNNNNNNNNNNNNNNNNNNNNNNNNNNNNNNNNNNNNNNNNNNNNNNNNNNNNNNNNNNNNNNNNNNNNNNNNNNNNNNNNNNNNNNNNNNNNNNNNNNNNNNNNNNNNNNNNNNNNNNNNNNNNNNNNNNNNNNNNNNNNNNNNNNNNNNNNNNNNNNNNNNNNNNNNNNNNNNNNNNNNNNNNNNNNNNNNNNNNNNNNNNNNNNNNNNNNNNNNNNNNNNNNNNNNNNNNNNNNNNNNNNNNNNNNNNNNNNNNNNNNNNNNNNNNNNNNNNNNNNNNNNNNNNNNNNNNNNNNNNNNNNNNNNNNNNNNNNNNNNNNNNNNNNNNNNNNNNNNNNNNNNNNNNNNNNNNNNNNNNNNNNNNNNNNNNNNNNNNNNNNNNNNNNNNNNNNNNNNNNNNNNNNNNNNNNNNNNNNNNNNNNNNNNNNNNNNNNNNNNNNNNNNNNNNNNNNNNNNNNNNNNNNNNNNNNNNNNNNNNNNNNNNNNNNNNNNNNNNNNNNNNNNNNNNNNNNNNNNNNNNNNNNNNNNNNNNNNNNNNNNNNNNNNNNNNNNNNNNNNNNNNNNNNNNNNNNNNNNNNNNNNNNNNNNNNNNNNNNNNNNNNNNNNNNNNNNNNNNNNNNNNNNNNNNNNNNNNNNNNNNNNNNNNNNNNNNNNNNNNNNNNNNNNNNNNNNNNNNNNNNNNNNNNNNNNNNNNNNNNNNNNNNNNNNNNNNNNNNNNNNNNNNNNNNNNNNNNNNNNNNNNNNNNNNNNNNNNNNNNNNNNNNNNNNNNNNNNNNNNNNNNNNNNNNNNNNNNNNNNNNNNNNNNNNNNNNNNNNNNNNNNNNNNNNNNNNNNNNNNNNNNNNNNNNNNNNNNNNNNNNNNNNNNNNNNNNNNNNNNNNNNNNNNNNNNNNNNNNNNNNNNNNNNNNNNNNNNNNNNNNNNNNNNNNNNNNNNNNNNNNNNNNNNNNNNNNNNNNNNNNNNNNNNNNNNNNNNNNNNNNNNNNNNNNNNNNNNNNNNNNNNNNNNNNNNNNNNNNNNNNNNNNNNNNNNNNNNNNUCGGACGUCACCAGUUUGCUCACCACGUUCCCCCACGCGAACUGGAACACCCCCGUCCCUCCCACGAUGGCCCGGUCCGCCUUCCCGGAGGUGUCCAGCCUCCCUAUCACCGUGAGCGUGCUGUCGCGGAAGUCCCCGGCCGUGAACACCAGCACCAGCGGUAUCAGCGACGACUCGUCCCGCUGCGACGCGUGGAAGCUCACGCCCUGCGCCCUCCCGACUUCGGUCGAACGCUUAGAGGGGCCGGUCCUCAGCACGGCGUCGAAGAUGUCGACGUCCCCGAAGGUGUUGGGGAGUCUCAUGUUCACCACGGUCACGGUGGUGUUGUCGGGGCCGAGAAAGGUCUCGUGGAAGUAGACGCGGAAGUGGAUUCUACUCUGCCGGCCGAGUUCGAACUCGGAGGUCACCGGGAAGGCUGUGGCAGCAGCCAGGAGGAGGAAGAAGACAAGGAGGAAGUAGAGAUGAGAGGAGCUGUGUGGGGAUGAAGCCAUGGCUGGGAUGACCGAAGGAUCGAAGUGAGGUGGGUACAACGCUGGAUCAGGAACAUGUAUUUAUAGAGUAAUGUCUGUGUCAUGCGUCGUCAACAAAUGCCAGCUUCCAACCAAAUCUCAUUAUCAUGUCUACAUAAAAUACUCAAACGAAUAUUACUCUUACAGGUGAAGGUCUCCGCGCAGGGAAGAAGAUACCAUCUAGUAACACGAUGUACACACCAUAUAGUCUUCUCCAUGAAUAUAUAUAUAUAUAUAUAUAUAUAUAUAUAUAUAUAUAUAUAUAUAUGAUGUCGAGCAAUGGAGAUGGGUAACUGAGAGAUGGAUGGAUGAUAGUUGCAAUCAAUGGGCGAUGAGGAUAGUGUUGCGUCUUCUGCAAGUGCCAACUGGCCACCUGUAGCUCGUCAAUUUGCUUGUUAAUUAACGAACCACAUUGGCAACGCUAUCUUUCUUUAUGUGUUUCAACACAGAUGUACGCGGUUGGCUGAUGGCUGUCGCUCCCGUUUGUUCGCAUCUUCGGUUGUUGACAUGUGGAAAUGAAGUGUUGGUUCCCAUGCGUGAUCGCUACCUCACCACUCGACUUAAAGUCGCGACAUAAUUAAUGACCGACGGUGCGAUGCAAAACCUUCACUCGCCAAUCAAGUCAUUCGUGACUCAUGUGGGGCCAUUAACCAUCUUUUUGUAAUCAAAGAAAAGCUCACAUGAUGUGUUCUCAUAUCAGCAUACCAAAUGAAUAUUAUGUGAAUUUUAAUAUACAUACAUAUUCUCUCCUGUCAAAACAUAUCCUAAACUCAUGUUUAUUUUCACCAUUAUAUAUAUGAUCACGAGACCAAAAAACAAAAAGGGAUGGGAUGACAUAAUGCAUGUCAAUGUUUCCAUGUGAAUCACGCCUGCAUAAUCCUUCACCUACCGAAGGUGUGGUUGGUUGUCAAAGUUCAUCAUUCUCAUGUAAGGUAUAUUUUUUUUAGCAAAUCGUCAAAUGCCAGCGCAUGCCGUGUUAUCUUUCAAAGUGCAUAGUUGACCCAAUCCGUGUGUAAUGUCUCCACCUUGGUUGUUUCCUCACGCAAUGCAUUUCUUUAUCAGUAUACGUAUACUUCACCUGUUCAUAACAUUCAUAUUAAAGCUUAUGUAGGUGCAGCGAAAUUAGUUAAGAUUAAUAUUUUUUGAAUGACGUAAAUAAUUUGUGAAAAAUAAAAGUAUUAUUUUGGAUAAAAUAAAUAGUAAAAAAGAGGAUCAAAUUGAUUAUGGAAACGUCGCAUUUUCACGAGUCUUAAAGCAGCAGAUUGCUUCAGUAAGUAAUAUAUAAUUUUGGAUAAAAGUAAAUACUAAAAAAGAAGAUGAUCAAAUGAAUUAUGGACACAUGUUAUAUCUACCAAUCUUAAGGUUGCAGAUUGCAACAGUAACUAACGACCACGAUGAGAAGGAAGGGGGAAAUGAUGAUGCGAAGAAUCUGCAGAGACGGCUCUCCUCUCUGUCCUCUUUGGUAGCAACGAGCGCGAUAUGGUGAUCAAGGUCCGAUCUCUUACUAUUCCUUCUCGUCCAAUUUUCCCAAUCUUGGUUAGAGUUUUAAUUUGAUGGAGUGCUUGACGCCGUCUUGUAGUUUUGAUGUCAAAUUCUUGGUUCGAUCAAAAUCUUUGAUGGUCCUCGUCGAUGAUCAUGCGAUCUAGUUGCUCUAUGAUCAACGAAAAGGAAACUUAAUAUUAUAGUAUUUGAUUGGGAUAAUCCUAACACUUGUCAGCUCUUUUAUCAUAUAGGCCAAAGAAGCAACACCUAAGCAUCAGCGUGGGAGUCACUGCUCCCCGCAAUCGCCGGCACCUAAACUCAUCUAGUUUGAGUUGCAUCACUGGAUAAAUCUGAGGACUCUAUAUAUUAAAAAAAAUCCACCUUUUAUAUUGUUACUGUCAUAUGAUAUUGGGGUAGAAACUAAUAAAUGACACGGUUACUAUAUAUAUAUAUAUAUAUAAUCUCGUUGAUGUGGACAUAAUAUUGCAUGUGACAUCAACUAAAUGAACACCUAAAAUCUAAAAUGCGUUUGUACCUAUUAAGUUUUGUUUUCCAACAUAUAACUUAAUUUAAGAGGGCAACGCACCAACUAUGAUUGAAGUAUUAUCCAACAACAUUCACUAAAUCACUUGAGGUUUUAAGAGUCAAAUUUAGAUAAGGACUACGACAAAAUGAAACUCAAUCAUGAAACUUAAAACCUCUAAAUAGGAAGAAAUGCAACAUCAUUUGGUUCAGUAAGUACACAACAUUCCCGUAUUAAUCUCUAUAUUGCAGCCUAGCCUACUAAUUUAAAGGCACUGUAACGUUACGAUGUAAUCAACCUAAAAAUAGGCCCCUUCCUCAGCACCACUAAUUGCAUGUAGCCUAGCCAUCAUCCAAAACAUCUUCUUAUAAGGUUCUGUAAGGAGACCCAUAUAGAAGUGUUUAUGUGCCCGCAUAUUAUCAACAUGGGCCGUGCCACGAUGCAGAAAGCCUUACCCAUGCAACAUUAUUAAAUCAUUCCUAUGCAAAGGAAUUCAUGAAUCACAAUAAAUAGCUACUUACCUCCUUGAUAACAACUAACAAUGCAGACGAGACCUAAAAAGGUCUAAAUUAUAUGACUCAUAGGUUUAAUCGAUAGCAACUUAGUUUCCUAAGCACCAGCAUGCGAGUCAUUUGUUUCCUAACAAGUGAUCUGAUUGUUAGGACAUUCCUUUUUCAUGUAUGAAUAAUAAUAAAUAAAUAUUAUAUUUCUAUCUUUAUAUGUAAAUAAUAAUAAUUAAAUAUUUAUUUACCUUUCAGAAUAUCUUAUCUUUCUCCUAUGUAAGCAUAAUGUGAGUAUUAAAUAAUAUAUUUUUCGAAAAGAUGAUAUCGAGGAAUGGAUAGUCGAGGAGAGACAAGAUCCUCUAUUCAGUUCUAAUCAAUUUUCAUUUAUAUUUUGAAAUCCUUGAUAUUAAAAUUGUUAUGAUCAUAUGAUGCAUAAUAAUAUUUUAAUUUUAAAAUUUUAUGAUUAGUAAAUAAUGAUAAUUGAUUUGUGACGUUAGAAUGAUUAUUUAAUUUAUAAUGAUCUUUUAAGCCUAAGUGACUUUCAAGAUUGAUUUAAUUAUUAAAACUUUUAUUUUUAAAUUAACAUAAUAAUUUUAAUUUAUUUAAUUAUAUAUUUGUAUUUCAAUAAUUAGAUAUGAAUUUGUAUGGCUUAAUUAGUUUUAAAUUUAAGAUUAUGAAUUUAAAUUAUUCUAAUUUAUAAAUUUAAAUUAUUUUUAAUAAUUUAAAAUAAUAAAAAUUAAUUUGAUAAGAGGAGUCUAACUUGAAGUUUGACUUGAGUCAAGUUGAUACGCUAAAUCAGGUCAAUCCAACCCUUGUAUUAAUUUUAUCAUAAUUCAUGUAUUUUUAGAUUUAUAAAAUAUAUAAAUUUAUAUUUAGCUCAUUAUAAUCGUAUUAUUCGAAAUAUAUUUUUUAAACUAUAUUAUACAUAUAGUAAGAUAUAUGAAUAUUAUUUUACAGUGAAUUAAAUUUAUAUUUAUCAGAUUAAAAUUAAAAAUAAAGGUGUUAAUAAAAAAAUAUGUUCCUAAAUGAUUGAGUGUUCCAAAGAGCAAUAGCCCUAUUAAAUUGAGAUUAUAGGGUCAUUAGAUGCCUUAGUCAACACUACCUCUUGAUUUAUUGAUUUAAGUAAUUUAUAAUAAUAAUUUAUAAAAAAAAUUUGAUAAAUUUUUUAUAAAAUAAACUAUACUUAAACUAACAAUAUGUCAAGUUAUUCCUUGUUCGUAGUAGCUAAAAUUCAACUAUAUUUAGUGUCGAAAGAUUAGAGAUCCAUGACAAGGUAUGAUGUCAUAAUUAUGUAUUAAUUGCGUGAUACAAAAGGGUGAAACAUCGUUUGUUCGUUCUCAUAUUCGCUUCCAUGUCCAAUGCUUUAAUUAUAUUAUAUUAUAUGGGACAUUGACAUGUUCUCAAGUUCACAUAAACGCACCACGGUGACAGUGGUGUUGUCGGGGCUGAGAUAGGUCUCGUGGAAGUAGACGCGGAAGCGGAUUCUCUUCUGGAUGCCGAGUUCGAACUCGGAGGUGACGGGGAAGGCCAUGGCAGCAGCGAAGAGGAGGAAGAAGACGAGGAGGUGGUGGAAAGGAGAGGAGCCGUGUGGGGACGAAGCCAUGACUAGGGUGGUAGAUGAACAAGGAACGUGAAAGUGAGAUGAUCACAACGCUGAAGGAGGGAAAGUGUCUUUAUAGAGCAUUGGCUUAUGUCUAUGUCAUCAUCAUACAUAUCAUAUUUAUCAUAGGUAAGCAUGUAUGUACACAUCAUCAUAUUAAUAUUUAAGAGAUUACAAUUAAAUAAGAUUUUGAAUCAUUAAUCUUUGAUACAUAAGUCUUUUAGAUGUAAGAAUAUCUCAGACAAGUUUUUUAAACAUCAAUCUUCGAUAAGUGAACUUUCAUCAUAUUGAAAAUAUUGAAGGAGUCCGAUUACAUAUAAUAAAAAGAAUAAUCAAGCCAAGUUUGCCGGAUCUAAGUUGUCAAGUGACACCACGUUUAGCCUUCCUCUUGAAAGCCGGUCGCUUUCCAAAAUCGCCGGCCGGCCCACUUCGCUCUCCGCCUUCAACACGCAACCUCAAAGAAGAUGAAGCCAACGUCAUGAAUGAUGUCGACUGCAGUCUUCUCCUCCAUAUCUUCUCAUCUUAGGACAAUACCUUCCACACCAUGGUAUCAUAGGUUGAUCGGGCGUUGGUUUCCUCCGCACACUAUCUUUUCUCGACGCUGUAGUUGAUGGUGAGGCUUCCAUCACAUUUGUUCCACCUUUGUCGUGUAACCUAAUUCUGAAAGAACAACAACUCUUUGAUCACUGCAUGACUGUGAUUCUUGCAGUCAUGUAAUAAUUUACUGUGCUCUGCCGACCGAGUUCGAGCUCGGAGGUGACCGGGAAGGCCGUGGCAGCAGCCAGGAGGAGGAAGUCGAGAUGAGAGGAGCUGUGUGGGGAUGAAGCCAUGGCUAGGAUGACACAAGGAUCGAAGUGAGGUGGGUACAACGCUGGAUCAGGAACAUGUACAGAAAAACCUUUAAGUAUGGAACUCAAAUUAAGCACGUUCAUUUGAGAAGCCAAAUAUGAGAAUAUAUUUAUCAUCCGAUUUAAGAUCAAACUUAUCAUCCGAAACGGUUUUCGUCGAAAUCAAUUUUUAUCGUACGAAGGUUUUUUUGAACCGACGUAAUUUUACCGCUGCACUAAUUCACCCUCCCCUCUUAAUGUCGACCCAUUUCCUAACAGGCCUAUGUAGUUUUGGUUUGGACUCUAGUUUGACUUGAUUGUUCGAACCAUAGUAAUUUCCCACCGGAGCGGGGCGGAGCAUAGCCCUUCCCAUUCCGUUUUAUUCCCCAUCCCACCAAAUUCCACAACGUGGGGGCGGGAAUUCCCAUCGCGGUGGAAAUUAUGUGGUUCUCCCGGUUCUUCUAACUAAAUCAUUUUUUAUUUUUAAAAAUAAAAUUAUUAAUAAAAUUAAUUAAUAAUAUCAAAUAUAUAAUAAAAUUUUCAUGCCAUAACAAUAUUCAAAUACAAAUAUAUCGAAAUAUAAAAAUAUGUUAAAUAAAACCACAAUCAAAUAAAUCUAAAUACAACCAAAUAAAUCUAAAAAUUAAUAAUUUUCUAUAUUAAUCCUAGUUUUUCUAAGUUAUAUUUGUGUAACAUUAAUCCUGCAUAAAUAAAAAUAUAUAUAAAGUUCCUAUUAAUAAAAACUUAAAAAGAACUAUUGAUAAAAAGAGACAAAUGCAAAUUAGGAUUUUGAACUUUUAGUAAUUUUUAUUUACUUUUUAUAUUAUUUUUUUAAAUAAAAAAUUUAAAUAAAUUAAUAAAUUAAAUAUAUUAUUCGUUUAGUAGUUAAUGCAAAAAGUUAGAGUUAUAGGUAUUAGAUUCAAUUCUUGAAUAUGUAUUUUAUAUUUAUAUUAUUAUUAACUAAUAUAUAUUAUAUAUAAUAUAAUAAUAUAGGAGUGCUCUAAAGGUCCCUAUUCUAUUACCAUGCUCAUAAUAAAAAAUACCUCAUAUCUUCGUUUAUUUCAGUAAAAAAAUAUAUCAUCAAUAAUAAGUGGUCCCCAUAGAUAAUAUAAUUUGGAGAGGUACCUUAAUAUUUAAAAUAAUAAAGAAAUUAGACAAUUAUAUUAUUGAUAGAAAUAUCCUUUAGGUUAAUAAUAACUAACCUUCUUUGAGAUACCCUUGAAAUGAUUCAGAAUGGUAAGCGUCCUUAUCCCUAAUAUUUCACUACAUUUUUUAGUCUUACAAUCGACCGACAUACAAUAAAAAUUCCUUGAGUAUAUCGCCUUUAAGGGAUAACCAUUUACUCUUAAUAAAUUUGGCACUUUACUAAGUUCUUGAAAUUAUUUAUUAACUCAAGCAUUAGGUGAUCUUUAUCAUGCAUGUCCUUGCCAUUAUUUUAUAAGAUCUCAGCUCAACUAUUUGGUGUUCUUGAUAGCAAAUCCAUUUGUGAUAGACUCGAUGAAGAAUCAUGGUUAGAUUCAAAUCAUUCUUCAUGUUAGAUAAUCAAAUUUUAUGUUAACGAUUAUAAAAUGUGAAAGAUUUUUCAAUCAAUAAAUUAACUAGAAUAAUUGAAUGACCAAAUGUUGAUGGGAGGAAUACAUACAUGUCAUUUUGCCAAAGCACGUGAUUUAUUUGGAAUUUGAUGUAACUCAUUUGUAUUAUGGUGAUUACAGUUUGUGACAAAUGUAAAGAUUCCAAAAAGUAAAUUCUGAUGAUGAGAUUCGGAUAUGCAUGUGUUAGAUCUCUUAUGAAACUUAAUUAGAAUUAUCUUAUUUAAAUAGUGACUUUAAUAUUUAGUAAAUAAAUAUGUAUCCAGGUAACUUGGAUGAUCAUAUUGUAAAAUAUACAAAUAAAUACAGUUUUUAUUUAUUUUAAGAAAAAGAUAAAGUACAAAGUGACAAGUAAUUAUAUACGACAUUGGCACAUAAACACACAACACACACACAGAGAUAUACAUAUAUGUAUUUAUAUAUUAUAGUAACGCCAUAGGCGGAGAUUCUUCGUGUCAUGUAUUAAACUUUGGUGACGUCUCGUAAUCAUGCGAUGGCACUGAGAUGGAGAUCGUUGUAGUAGACGACGUAGACGUCGUAGGCGACGACAAGCUUCGCGAAAGAGGACGUCACCGUCUCGGUCACCAUCUUCCCCCAUGCGUACUGGAACACCCCCGUCCCUCCCACGAUGGCCCGCUCCGAGUUCCCGGACUCGUCCAGUCUCCCGAUCACCGUGAGAGUGCUGUUGACGAACUUCCCCGCCGUGAACACCAGCACCAGCGGUACCAGCAUCACCUCCUCCUGCAUUGAUAUGUGGAAGCCCGCGCCCUGCACCCUUCCGAGGUAGGUGGAGCUUUCGUCGGGGCCGACCCUCAGCACGGCGUCGUAGAUCUCGAUGUUCCCGAAGGUGUAGGGGAGGCUCAUGUUCACCACGGUGACGGUGGUGUUGUCGGGACCGAUAAAGGUCUCGUGGAAGUAGACGCGGAAGUGGAUUCUCUUCUGGAUGCCGAGUUCGAACUCGGAGGUGACCGGGAAGGCCGUGGCAGCUGCCAGGAGGAGGAAGAAGACGAGGAGGAAGUAGAGAUGAGAGGAGCUGUGUGGGGAUGAAGCCAUGGCUAGGAUGACACAAGGAUCGAAGUGAG
rnacentral:lncRNA from 1 species